rnacentral:lncRNA from 1 species
AGGAUGUGAAUGACUCAGAAGUGAAAUUUGCUGCAGGGCAAGCAGUUAAAAUCCAUAACGAUCAAAAACACGAUACAUUGGUUUUCAUUCGUGUAGUGAAUGGUCUGAAGCAGGAAGUUGAUACUGCCAAGCUGUAUUCUCUUCUGAUAGAAGCUACAAAUGGUGAUGGAACUCAUUGGGGAUAUAUCGCUAAGAUUAAGUUGUGGCCUAAGGCCCCAAGUCAUUAUGAUCCAUAUUCCCAUACCUUUGAGCUCAUAUCUUGGGAAGAUCCCCUCAAAUUCUGGAACUAAGUAUUCCAAUGUUAUCUUUUUACAUCUUUACAUCUUUACAUCUUUACAUCAUAAUAAUAUGUCCUUCUCUAUAUAUAGAGAGAGGGCAUUAUUGUCUUCCAACUACUAUAUGAAAAUGGUAUAGCCUUGAUUAAAUAGUGAUACACAUAAUCUAUUUCUAUAUAGUAUAUGUGUGUCCAUAUAUAUAUGUUUAACUUUUUCUCUUCUCUCUCCCAUCUAUGUUCUAUGUAUGUAAAGAGUUUAAAUAAGACUAAAUCAUUAAAUAGUCAAUUUUACUUUAUAAUUUGUCGUUUACUGUUUUAAACUGAUUAUUUCGUUUUAUUUAUGACAUGGGUAACUUAAGGUGUGUUUGGAUUAUCUUUUAAAGUGUUUAAAUUUGAAAAAAAAAAUUAAAAAUUUGAGGUGUUUGGUAACUUUUCAAAAUGUAUUUUUAAAAAAUGAGAUUGAAAAAUAAUUCAUUUUAAAGAAAAUGCUCAAAACCAAAUUUUGAGAAAACUAUGUAUAUAAACUCUUAUAAAAGGAUAGAACCAAACAUGUAAAUAUUUAAAUUUUAAACUCAUUUUAAGGAAAGUGUUUAAAAAUAAUGUAUUCUUGAAAAAUAUUUUUUUUCCAUAGGUAAACCAAACGCACUCUUAAUCUUAAUUUUAACUUAAUGAAUAAGAUGUAAUUUCGAGGGUAAAACGAUAACCUUGACUUAGCCGAUAUUUCGAAUAACCUGUAAAAGAUUAACUUACUAAUCAUAGUUAUUUCAAAUGGACACAAAUAUAUCUAUAGUAAAGGAACUGAAACUAAGAAAUUUUAAUGGAAUGAUCUAGUUAGUUAACGAAUGUUAAUUAGCUUAUUCUAAAAGAAUUUAGCUAGUUAAUCUCGAAUCGAUGAAGCUCGUGAUCUAUAGGUUUAAUAGGUUCCCUAAUAGCUCAUAUGGAAUAAACUUAGAACAAUAUGAUUGAAUAAUUUGAAUUGUUCAAAUUGGAAAAUGAGAGAAAAAUUGACAAGUAUAUGUGAUAUAGCAAUCAGUCACUACUAGAAAACUGAGAUUUAACAACACAAAAUAUGUGUCAUAAACGGUUUUCAUGUCACAUAUUUUGCAUCUUUGAAGUGCUUGUAAAGAUAGGACAUUUACUGACGCAUCCUAAAAAGUGUCAUUAAUAUUGCUUAAAACGAUAUUGAUUUAACGCCAAUAAUCAAUUUCUCUUGACAUUUACCACCUAUGACUAUUAAUUGGAUUAUGAAACAAUGAAAUUGUCAUUGUUAGUCUCAAAUGAUCAAAUAUUGCGUCUAUUUUCUAUAUUAGGGCUACAGGUUUAAUUUGAGAGAGAGAGGGAAGGUUGAGUUUGAGUUGAGAGAAGAGAGAAAUGUCAUUCACUGGAGAAUUCUGGGCAAGAUGCAUUCAUAGAGGGCUAUAGAACUCGUUUCUUGGAUUUUUUUUUUUAAAAAAAUUGAGGUAUGAAAGUUAAGACAUUUUCCAGCAACUUUGUACAAGAAAGUAUUUUCAUUUGAGUUUUUCAUUUUAAGAUAUUGGCUUAUAAAUUAUAGUUAAGGUUUUAGCCAAAAAUGAGUUUUUGGACAGUAGAGGUUGUUAGUCGAAUGUCAGAGGUUGUUAGACAAGAUGGACAUGUGUUUUGGGUUAAAAGAGGUUAGCGUUGCGUUUAGGCUGGUGUUUGGCACACAGUCUGUGUACAACGGGCGUGCAGCUAAGGAAGCACACAAGGAAGGCUAUGUGAGACGCUGACACACGACCAGGUGAGGUACCCACGUGUUUAUGGGUGAGGUUAACACGCGGGCAUGCCUAGCGCGAACGAAUCGAAACUCCAGUUUCUAUAGUUUUAAAUCAAGAUCCACGAUCUACUUAAAAAAUUUGGCCAAAGUUAUAGGAAGCCUUAGAAACCAAAAUAAUUUUAGCACCACAUUUCAUCCAUAGACAGUGGCCAAUCUAAAAGAACUAUUCAGGCAUUAGAGGACAUGUUAAGACCUUGUGUUCUAUAGUUCAAAGGGAGCUAGGAUGAUUGAUUGUCCUUGAUUGAGUUUGUCUAUAACAACAACCCCUUUUAAGGCGUUGUAUGGGAGGCGUUGUAGAACUUCAAUACGCUAGAAAGAAGUGGGCGAGAGGAAGCUCUACAGUCUAGAGUUAGUCUAGGCCAUAACGAAAAACAUCAAAUUAAUUAGAUAAAAUUUAAAAAAUUUCCGCGAUAAGUAGAAGUGCUAUGUGGAUAAUUGUCGUAAAGCAUUGGAAUUCAAGGUUGGGGAUAAAGUUUUUCUAAAAUUAUCACCUUGGAAGGAUGUGAUCAGGUUAUAUUAGUCCACGUUAUAUUAGUCCUUAUGAGAUUCUAGCAAGCGUAGGACCAAUGACUUAUAAGCUAAGAUUGCCUGCAAAACUAUCUAGGAUUCAUAAUUUCUUUCACAUCUCCAUGUUGAGGAAGUAUGUAUCAAACUACUCGCACAUACUCUAAACUUUUGAAGUAAAAUAAAACUUGAACUACGAAGAAAGGCCUUUGUGUAUAAUGGACAAAAAGGAACAAGUCUUGAGAACAAAGGUGAUCCCCAUGGUCAAAAUUUUGCGAGACAACCAUGGCGUUGAAGAAUCUACUUGAGAAAGUGGGGAGCUAAUAAAAACCAAGUACCCACAACUUUUCGUACAAACUCACUGAAUUUCAAAGACGAAAUUUCAAUAAGGAGGUAGUACUUGUGAGACCAUAAACGUGUUUAGAUCUAUAUGAUGAGAUUAAAGCGAAAGAAACAAGUAAUGCAAUGAGAUGGGUACUAAUAAAGAACUCACGUGUUAUGAUGAGGUACGCGAUGAAAAAACGAUAUUGGGAUCUCCAAAACCUUUUAUAAAGACCUUGCUUGUUUAUUCUUUCCUCGCAUUGUGAUCUCCAAAACGUCAAGUAUCAAAACGCUCUCUUUUAUAAAAACUUCUUUUUUCAAAAUCCUUCACUUAGAUUUUUCUUUCUCAAAAUGACCCUUCUACUCAGGCACAAGUCUCACAUUCUAGGUUCUUUAGUUUUUUAAAAUAGGUUUGAGAGGUCCUUUAAUUAAUUUUUAUUUUAUUUUUAGUACUAGAAAGGCACCCAAGUUUUAGAAGGGUGUGGGAUAAACAAAUCUGGAUUUGUUGGUGUUUCUACGUCACUCGGCUUGGCAAGGAAUGGAGAGGAAUAAAAUAGUAAUAUACUUUUAUUAAAUAUGUAUUUUUUUAACUUAAAAUGUUUGUCCUUAUAUCCAACACUUUAUUUUCAAUUAAAACAACUUUAUUAUUCCUUAAUUAAUUAAAAAUUCGUUUCCAAAAUGAUUUUCUUAUCCAUUGAGGGGAGUUACAUAUGAUGAUCGUUAAGGCAUUACAUGAUUGAGACGUUAUCACAAAACUCACUCUAGAUAAGAGCUUGCCAAUAUAUGUUCUUCUUCGUUAUUUGCGUUUUUCGAGAAAAUCAAAUUAAAGAGUGUUUGGUAUUUCGAUCAAUUAUUCUAGUGUAGCUCUAAUUGAGUUGGUUGUUGUUUUAUCAUAGAGCGUCAUGACAUUUUUUGAAUUGUUUGCACUCUUAGCAGAGUUGCAAAAUGUCUUAAAGAAAGUCUGAUUCGUGACUUCAACCUUCUUCUUAAUUACUAUUUUCUUUUUUGCAAUAUUUUAGAAGCAUGCUCUAGAUGUCCAAACUUCCACUGGAAGAGCACCCAAUGUCAUUAACCUAGGCGAACAAAUAAUUACUAGGCGGUAAGAUUACCAAGGGACCAAAAUCCAAACUAUUAGAUUUCAACCAUUCUGUCAUAGGCUUCCAUAUUCAAGCUCCUACCUUCACUUCGAAAGCAUUGUUCCCAAGAACAGUUUCAACCAUUUUUUAUUUUUUUGAAAUGACCACUUUAAAAGAAAAACAACAACAACAUUUUUUACUUCUAAAGAUUGAACUAGCAAUGUAAUAUCGUAAUUGAAGAUGACUAUGUACAAAUUUGUUAAUAAUUUAAUUUAAUUUUAAAACAUAUAUAUAAUCAUUCAAAUGGUUUUAAUGCAAAUAAAAAUUCUCAUUUAAGUUAUUUAAGUAUUUUAAAGGGUAGUUUCUUUAAAUGGUAGAGAUAUUUAUUCAUCAAUUAAUUCGUCAAUUGAUAUGUUUAGAUAGUCAAAAUGUAAUUUGUCCUCAUGUCAAUCAAUUUGCUAUAUAUUAAAAGAGCACUGUGUGUGUAUAUAUAUAUAUUGAUUUAUUGAUUUUACAUAGAAAAGGAAAAUAUUGAUUUAUAAUCAAUUAGAAAUAAUACAAUAUAUAAAUCAAAUCCUUUCUCCUCAUUGCUCACUUUCUUUGGAUCUUUGGAGUUGCAUUGUUCUAUCGUAGAAGGGUUGCAAUGGUCUUGCAUUAGAAUCCGAGUCCUGUUUUCACAUAUCAAACCUUUCUUUUAAGUGGGUUAAGUAAAGUUUUUUUUUAUUUUACUAUCUUCUCCAAUUGAAAUAUAAAAUUCAUACCAAUUUUUACUUCCUUGAAGCUGUAAGAUUAUUCCACAAUUAUUAUUUUCUUUAUUCACAUAGGAUCUACUAAUUUAAUAAUGAAUUUCUCAAUUUUACAGAAUUUUGGCUACCUAGGCUUAUAGAAUUAUUUGGGAUGGCAGAUGAUCCAUUUAUUUUCUAUGGUGGAAAUCAAAAUUAAAGGAUUAAUUAUUUCAUCAAUCAAAUAACCACACGCUUAGGGUUUAGAAAAAUAAUAAAAAUCAUUCCAAUUAACUUACAUCAUGGACAGCCACUCGAAGUAAUUUUACUUGCUCUUCUGUAACAGUCCUCACCUAUUGAAAUCAUGUAGUUAGCAAUUAUAGUGCAUGAAUAUAUAAAUAUACUAUAUAAGUUUUAUUGUUUAAGCAAUUAGCUAAAAUCAGCAUAAUUGUUAAAAUUUUAGAAUAAUCCCAUAUAGGUUAUGUGUUCAAACAUUUUUUUCGUUUUUGUUUUUCAUUUUCAAACAAUAAAUCUACUUCCUUUCAUUUUUUUUACGAUUGCUUGUAUCAAUCUUAGUUGCAUUCAUAACUUAAUUCAAAAAAACAAAAACAAGCUUUUAAAUCUAAUAAGAGAUUCAGACGUGGAAGAGAAGGUGGUAAGGUAUGUUUUCAAAUAAAAGAUUAGAAAUGAAAUUUUAGUUUUUAGUUGUUUAUUUUCUAUGAUAAAAACAAAAAACCAUACAUAUUUGACAUAAUUAUUUCUAAUAUAUAUUGAAAUUUAGUAUUGGAAAAAGAAAAAUAAUAAUGUACCUGGUGAAUGAUAGUCCACAUAACAUUUUCAGUGCAUGGUGGAACAGUAAGUGAGCCAAUGUAUCUAUAAUAUUGUUUGCUACCCAUUUUCAAUAUAUUUGGAUCAAUUAUUCCAAUCACUCUCUCCUCUUCAUGUGUAUUUGAGGCCACUUCUAAAUCUUCUUCGAUCUGAUACCAUCACAAUAUUGAUCAAACAAUGUUUAUUAAUUCAAACCUUUUCCACAAAAUUUAGGCAGUUAUUGUGUGUUGUAUUUCAUAUUUUCAUAUAUAUAGUUUUUACCACGUACCCAAAUUGGGAUCUCGUUCAGAGACGCUGUAGCUGCCCUACUAAUAUCUAGGUUAAUAUAUAAAUAUUUUUAAAAGAAUCGUUUAAAAUUAUAAUUUUGACAAAAUAUUUAUAAGAUAUAGCAAAAUUUCAGAUUAUAUUAUUGAUAGACAUUUAUAUGCUUCUAUCAGUCAUAUUGAUAGACAAUCAUAAAAGUUUAUUAAGGUCAAUCUUUCAUAGAAUCUAAAAUUUUGUUAUAUGUUUAAAUAUUUUAGGUUAUUUUGCUAUUUUUAAAAAUGUCUCUUCUGUAUAUUUAUUAUUUUAUAAUAUAAUAUUAAGUAUGUAAUUUAUAAUUUUAUUAUAUGUACAUGUUUACAUUUGAAAAAAAUAAUAAAUGGAGUACUUUAUGACAUGAAAUACUAUAACUUUAUCUUUUUUUUCUAUAUUAUAAUUCAUUUCAAUUUUCAAAAUUUGAAUCAAAUAUAUAUUUUUUUCUAUAUUAUUACGAGUAUUCAAACCCAAUUUACCUGUCUUCACUAAAUUUUCAAGACACCCUCGUUUGACUCUACAAUAUUUAAAUGUCAAAAAACUCUAAACAAUGUUAGUUUAUUUAGAAUUUAGACGGUUAGAUCAUAGAUAAUCUAAAAACAACUAUUUGUCAAAUUUAUAUCCAUUAAGUUUAGUGAAUUUGAAAGAUAAAACAAAAUCUAAAUUGUUUAUCAACUAUGACGACUCAAUUAUGGAUUAAACAACUGACCGUUGAUAAGAAGUAAUCGGGUUCUCCAAUUUGAUACAAGAUUCCAAUGACAGAAAUCAUUCCAUUUGAGCUUUCAUGAACUAAGUGAGCUUCAAGAUCGAAAGUCUUGCCAUCAAUGGUGUGCUCAGAAGGUGAGUGCCAAUGACACUGUUUUAGUUUAUAUUGAGUUCCAUUCAUCUCCAUGUAUCCACCUCCAUCCACCCAUUUCAUCUGUAUAACCACAAAUACACCUUCUUUUUUACAUGCAGCAUAUAUGUUAUACGUAUAUAUAUAAUUCAUCGAUCAACCAUGAUUUUAAAAUAAUGAAUAGAAUCAUUUUUUUUUCAUUAAAUCAAAGUUAGUAUUAUUGAGUGAAAAAUCAACGUCGUGAAAGUGUAAGUCUCUUGAAGAUAAUAUAAAUCCAAUUGAAACAAAACUUAAAUUUUAAGGGUAAAGUUAUAAGUACUUUGAAAUCGAGAGACUAGAUUGAAAUCAAAAUCAAAACUUAAGAAUAAAAGUGCAACCUAUUUUGACACCUAUGAACCAAAUGAAAACUAGACCCAAUACUUGGGGAGAAAAAUGUGUUUUUUUUUUUAUUUGAAGUUACAAACGAACACAUAUGUGUUUAAUAUUAUUAUUUAAUAUCAAUCUAAUGAUUUAACAUACUUCUAUACGUGUCGAAGUAAGCAUAUAACUCAAUUUGGUAAUUGACGUGGUCUUUUUCAACCUCUAGGAUUGGAGGUUCGAUCUUUCAUAUCCAAGAUUAUCGUAUUAAAAAAAAAAACUUUUAUAUAAAGUUAUCGUACGUUAAAAAUUGAUUUUAGAUUAUUAAAAGCAUGUUUUAUAUAUAUAGAGAGAAUGAUUUUAUAUAUAACAAAAGUUGGUUUAAUCCUAGCUAGGAAAAAGGAAUUUAAUUACCAUCAUGUCAUGGCCUCUAUUCUUGAGUGUGGCAUUAGAAGAUUUGUAGUUGAUUUGAAGGUCUCCCAAAUGUGAAAUAACUUCAACUCUUUCAUGCAAUAGAUCAAUUGGAGAUUGCAUUAACCCACCCUUGCAUUUAUGCCACUCUGCUCUAAGCUCUCCCCAAUGGGUUGGUCCUUUUUCCCCAUCUCUUUCAUAAUCAAACCCUCUUUCAUUCUCUGCAUAAACAAUCAUAAUCCUUAAACAAAUAAUAUACAAUUUGAAGAAAAAAACUGAAUAAUCUUCAAUGCCAAAUUUAUACCAUAAUCUUAAAAUGUUAGAAAUGAUUUAGAAACAUUUUCUCUUAUAGGUGGUUUGACUCCUCCCUUUAUAAAUCUACGUUAACUCUUCCCAAGUAUUAUUCUCGUCUACUACUCAUAUCAUCAUAUUCAUAAAAAAAAAAAAAAAUUUAACAUUCACCAAGGAAAAGAGUAUAAUUGAAAAAUAUUUUAGAGUAUAAAACUAUUAUCUCUAUGUCAAAACUAAUAAUUGAUGACAUUGAGAGAAGUAGCUCGUACAAGUCCGUUAAAAAAGAUUGUGAGGUCUCUUUAUUUUAUAAUUUGAGAUGAUGGGAUACCCAUUUAGACUUCAUGAGCCUAAGAUAUCAUAUUAAAAAACAUGAGGUUUUAUCUCUAAAUAAGAAAUACAUAGUUCAUGAAAUCUCAUAAAUAUUGUGAGAUUCCCUAAUUUUUCGAACGGAUCUUUCAAUUACAACUGAACUAAAAUAUUUAAAGCAGGUUGGAGUGGAGAAAAAAAAAGUUCAUAAUUUGGGAGCUCACCAACUUCUUGGGAUGUUGCCUUUAAUGAAAACAAAAGAAGGGAAAAGAAGAUCAAAGAGCACAGGAUGUUUCCCAUGUUCUAACCUACUUUCUCUUUUCUCUAGAGAAUCUCUCUUUGUGAAAGUGUGGUUUAAGAAUAUGGGUUUAAGGUGUUUUUAAAGAUUAUUUAUAGCAUCAACUUACAAUGUGAAUAUAAUGCAAAAAGAAACAUUUGGAAACCUUAGCUUCAUUUUUCUUCAACUACUAUGUAUUUUCAGCAAACAACAAAGUUUGAAAUUUUCGAAGAAAAUAUGAACUUUACACCAAGAAAAAAGAAAAAUUGCAAUCAUUGAGUAUUUAAAGCAAAAGAAGUCCAAAUUCAGGAGGUUCCGUUUCAACAUUGUUUUCUCAUGUUCGUUUUAAAAAAUAUGCUUAGUAUCAGAUAUUUGAAUUAAUCAGAAGUUUCCCUAGAAUUUCUUGGAAUUUUUUUAACAGUCUCAAAAACGUUUAAAUUAAGAUGUAAUAUAUUGUCUUUUAACUUUUCAUUUCACUUUUAUGUCUAAUAGCUAAAUUUGAAAAUCUUAAAAUUUUAGUUCUAUUAAUUAAAUGUUAAUUUUCAUAAAUAUAACAAAAACACCCAAAUAUUUACGGUGCAGAUAACAAAAUAAAAAAAUCCAUGAUAUUUUCAUAAAUUUUAAGUUUAUCCUUGAAUAAUGCAUAUAAUUAUCACUUCUUUUUCUUAUUCUUAUUUGCAAUUUAUUCAUCUUUUUUUCAUAUUAUCACUUCUUUUUUAGAAUUUCUUCCUUAUGCUUCAUUUCUCAUCGAGAAUUUCUUCAUUCUUCUUCAUUUUCUUUUUUCUUUUCUUCCUUGCUACAAGAUUUAAAUGAUAUUGGUACAUGAUCUAAAUGAUCGUGUACCAAUGUCUAAACGAUUAGUUGUCUAUCUGAGAUAGACAAAGAUAGAUCACUAUCAUUAAUUGAUCAUUUAGAUUUUUGGUACAAAAUCGUUUAGACUGGGUACAAUAUCAUUUAGAUUUGAUAUAAAAUCGUUUAGACUAGGUACAAGAUCGUUUAGACUUGCUACGAAAUUGUUAAGAAUUGCUAAGAGAUCGUUUAGACUGGAUAUAAGAUCAUUUAGAUUGGGUACAAAACUAUUUUUUCACACAUGUGUGAUCGAUUAAUUGUGGGAGUAUUUUUGUUAUUUCAUGUUAUGGGCUUGUAGACAUUUUUCUUAAAAUUGUUCUAUACGUUGUAAAUACUUUCACGUUUUGUUCUAUUUUUUAAAAAACUCACUAAUAAAACUUUAAAACUUUAUUCGAUAACUAUUUGAUUUAACCAACACCAAACGCCAUUAAUGAAAUCUGAAGCGGCAAUUUAAAAGCCUCCUAUUUAAGUUAUUAAUUAAUUUAAAUAUUUUAAAAUAUAAAUUAAUUUAAUAAUCAAUCAUUUCAUCUUUUAAAAAUAAAAAGGAUGCUUAUAGGUUUAAUUAUAAAAUCUGAAAAGUCAAAUAAUUACUAACAAGAGAUCUAAACUUACAAUUUUAUACGUAAAAAAUCCACUAUUAGAUUCUUGAAUGGUUGAAAAUUCGAAAAUUUAGGCAAUAGAAGUUAAAAUUUUGAAAGCUCAUAAAUGACCAUCUUAGGUUUAAGACUAAACGUAUAAUUUAAUCCAUGCAUAUUAUUAAACUAAAUAAGAGAGAGAAUUAGUAAUUAAUUAUCUUCUUAAUAUUUGGUGUUGAAAGUUUAAUCAAAUUGCUAAUUAUAAAAAAAAAACAUAAUAAAAAUGAAAACAAAGUUUGGAGAUGAUGAAACAAGUUUUGACUAUAUGCACUCAACAAGAAAAUUGACCAAAAUCUUUGUACCAACUUUUCUUAAAAUUGUUGUCUAAAGUUGUGCAAUAAAUGAAGUCUUAGUACUAAUUUUGAAUAUCACAUAUUCAAUUCACCACCCUAUUUUAAUUUUAGUUUGAAUUUAAAAUUUACUCACACAAUGGUUAGGUUUGUUUUAAAUUUAGCUUUAAACUUAAAAAUAGGGAAAAUCUACCUUUUAUUUUUUUAUUUUUAUUUGAGAUUUGAAAUUGGUUUUUGAAGCUUUAAAACUAAUACUUGUUCUUGAGAUAGGGAAAAUGCUUUUAAAUUGUCCUUGAGGUGAUUUUUUAAAAAAAAGUUGGCAAAUUAUCAAUGAAUUAAGUAAUAUUUUCUUUACUUACUAAUUUAUUUUUAUCAAUUGAAUUAGGUUGAAUUUUGGCUUUCCCUCCCUCAUCUCCCCUCGUAGGAAAAAAAUUAAAGGCUCCUGCAAUAAUAGCAAAAGAAUUUAUGAUAAUAAGACACAUGUCACUAGAUUUUCUAAAUUAAAAAAAAGUAGAAAAUUUAAAAGUUGAUAACUCUAUCAUUACCGUCUCAUAGCUCUAUGAUUACCGUUUGAUAUUAUUAAUUUUGUCAUAUUUGCAAUAUACAAAAAAAAAAAAAAUUAUGUGCUAGUUUUUUUCUAAAUGUUUUUUUCAUUUAGUGAUAGGAUAUGAAACCGUGAGUAAUGAUAGAUUUUAGGUAUGCCAUUAAUCACUCUCAAGAUUCAAAAAUAAAAAUAAAAAAUAGUUAAAAACUAGGUUUAUAACAACUUUUUUUCAAUUAUGAAAAUCUAUUUUAGUUGUAACGAUAAUUGUUUCUUUUAUUACUGGUAAAUACGGUUUUAAAUUGGGCUAAAGAAACCUAGUUAUGAAUUUUUGCAUAAAUUUAAAAGUAUUUGUCAACAACCUCAAAGAAACUUUGAUAUGAAUCAAAUUAGUGUCGAGUAAAUUUCAAAUAUUUCCAUGUAAUUGAUCGAUAGAGAAUUCUAACACGCCCAUUGUUUGGUUGGAACAGACGACGAUUAUCUAUGCAUGUUUUUCUUUGAAUUUAGAAGUUUAAAUUUUCAAUUUUUUUUAUACAAAAACUAAAGUAAAUGAAGGAAUAAGCCCUGGUGGCAUGAUACUUGAAAAAGAAGCUAAGAAAAAAUGUCAAGUGAUGAGCGUAUCACGUGUGAAAAUUGCUAAGGAAAAAAAGACUUUAAAUGAUGCUAAUCAAUAUUUGCAUGAGAGAACUUAUCAAAAAUUUCAACUUAUUGCUAACAAUUUCAUUCCAUCUUUUCUUAUGUUUUUCUUCAACUUGUAUUCAAAUUUCCUAUCCAUUUUAACCUUAAUUUUAUUUAAUGUAGUUGGUAGCUUACAGCUAUGGAUGAAAAGAUUUUGACUUUCUUUUUUUUCUUUUUUCAACAUGUGUAUCGUGAGAAAUUCAAUUUUGACGAUGAUUUGUAUGUUUCAUCCUGAAUGAUUUUUAAAUGGUAGCAAAAAAAAAAAUCAUCUUCCAAAAUCAACUUUCAAAUACACUUUUGUUUAAUAUUACGGACUUUUGUUGUUUUCCAAAGGACUUUAAACAUGGUUUUAGUCGCUCGAAAUUAAUUUGGAUGAUCUAAAAUUCAUUUUGAAGACUUAAAAACAUGUUUAUUAGUGAUUUCGAAAAUGAAAAGUGUGAUUCUAGUAUGUUUAGAACUACUUCCAAAUAUACCCUUAACCACUCAAAAUUAAUUUUAUAUUUAAUUAUCAUUUUGAAAUGCAAUUUUUAUAUCAUUUAAAUUAAAUUUUAAUGAUUUCAAGAGGCGCGAGUAGUGAAUUUAUUUGAGGGUAGAAGAAUACAACGAUGCUUUAAGUCAUAAAGUGAAAAAGUGUAGAAACCGAUAAUUUUUAUAGUACUAUUUAAAUUGCCACAUAUGAAGCUACAAACUACAAUGAUGUAUUUAUAAUAGAUGAGGUUAACUUAGGUAUUUUUCUACUGCCUUUUGAAAUUCAACUAAUUAUUUAGUAACCUAAUGAAAUUCUAUGCAUGAUUCUUGGCCUCAAGAACAUGUUUGUACGAAAGUUAGGCUUCUUAGCCUCGAAAUUGGCUAAAGCGAAAAAAGGUUGGAUCGAGGGACCAACUCAAGUCUAUUGGAUUAAAUAAGCUCUUGGCCUCGUGAUGUUCACUAUCUUAAAGGUAAAGAAAUUCCAAAACAGUCGUAUAAUAAAGUUAUAGCCACACGCAAAAUUAUUUAGCCAAAUGAAAAUAAAGUAUAUAAUAUUGUUGGUACACGAUUGUUUAUAUUUUGUACAUAAUCGUUUAGAUUUUCUUUAAGCUUCUUGUGUUUAAAUUUUUUAUACACGAUCGUUUAGAUUUGUCUAACUAAUAUUCCAACUAUUUUUUUAGAUCUUUUAUGUUGACACAUAUUCUUGAACAACCAAAUAGUCUGAAAAAAAUAUAAAAAAUAGAUAUUUUAUAUUUUGUACACUGUAUUAAACCAAAUAACAGUUUAAAAUAAAAAGAAAAGAAAAGAAAAAUGGCAAAAAAAGACAAUGGAAAGAAAAAGACAAAAUUGCAUAAGAAAAAAGAUAGGAAAUAAGAAAAAGCCUGAAAUAUUUUCUAAAAAAAUAGUGUUCUCCAUAGCUUUUUGAUUUUGUUACAUUGACCGUAAAUAUUUUGGUGUUUUGUUAUAUUUAUAACAAUUAACCUACGAUUAACCACAAAUUCUUGAAAAUCCACCAUUUUAAUUAAAACCACAAAUCAUACGACUUAAUUUAAUUCUCAAUAAAACACAAAAAUCCAAAUACUCAAAUUAAUUAAAUAUUAUCCAACAAAUAUUUGAUUAAUUUCAAUUUUCACAAAAUAAAAAACUUCGCAUUCAAUUAACUGAAAAUAACACUCUAUAAAAGGGGUUUUUUAAAAAAUAUAACAAAUCGCUAAAAUAUUUACACAUUAUAAAACAAUUUCAAAAACGGAAAAGUCUCAAGCCCACAAUGAAAAAUACAAAAAUGUCUGUGAUUAAUUGACAUUAUGACGUAAUAUAUUUGGGAAACGAUCGUUCAGAUUUGGUUAUUCUUUCAUACACAAUCAUUUAGAUUUGGCUAUACAAAUGAGAACAAUUUUUUUAAGAUUCUUUGCACACGAUCGUUUAAAUUUGGCUAUUAUUUAGUACAUGAUCGUUUAGAUUUAAUCAUUUAAAAUUUGGGUAGCCAAAUCUAAAUGAUUUUUUCCAGUGUUUUUUGGUAUACGAUCGUUUAUAUUUGGCACACAAUUGUUUAUAUUCGAUCGUUUAAAUUUAGGUAGCAAAAUCUCAAUGAUUUUUUUGAAGAUUUUUUUGGUACACGACCGUUUAGGUUUGGUAGAGGAUCAUUUAUAUUUGGUACACGAUCGUUUAAAUUUGGCUACCCAAAUCUAAACGAUUUUUUAAGACUACACGAUCAUUUAGAUUUUGCUAUUUUUUUGUAUUCAAAUUUGAGAGCCAAAUCUAAAUGAUGUUUUUUUCGAGAUAAAAAAAAUUAAUUGAUCUUUUAUAUUUGGUACACGGUAGGUGAUGAAUUAAUGCAUGCUUGUGUGGAAAGUUUGUGGACAUUUUCUACUUGCUGAAACACGUGAGAUGUUCUUGAACUAUAAAGUUUGAUAUCUUAAAGGAAGUUUAAUUUUCAUUAGCAUCUUCUUCUUCAAUGGUUGGGUUGGAUCCUCGGAGUAACUUUGCAUAUUUGUGAGAGUGUUCAUGAAAAGCACUUGAAAAGAAUUUGCACCAUACAUUAGAUGCAUGUGUGGGAAAUUGUUGAGGAGAGUAGUAUCUUGUUUCUGUUUUCGUGAUAAUUAAAUUUGUUCUACUUAAGCCCAUCUCUUGCUCCUUGAUUUUGAAAUACUAAAUUCCUUUACUUGGAAUCACAAUGAGAUCAGGAUGAUUCUUAACGUUAGACACCUUUACUUGUAUUUAUGUUUGUGAUGUUUGUAUUUAUGUAUUUAUGCAGCAAAACUAGAAGCUAGAUUGAAUUCUUCUUCAUUUUCAUAUGGUUCCUUUGGUGACUAUGAAUUGAGUCAAAUCUAUGGUUAUUUGAAGAUAUUGAGUUAAAUUUGUGAUUAUUUUUGCUUGAAGCAAUGUCUUUUCUAGUUUUGAUUAGUCUAUAGAACUAGAUAAUCAUCUUUGCAUUUUAUGUUUUCAUCUUUCCUCUUCAUAUUAAGAAGAUCAAUGGGUUCUUUUUAAUUUUGUUUUCAUUUUUCCUUCAUUUUUAGUUUUCUUUGUUCAUUUUCUUUCUGUUUAUUGGACAGUUUACAUGGGACAGUUUAGUGCUUUAUUUUAUUUUCUAUAUAUAUUGUUUAUAUGUAUUAAAUUGUUAUAUCAUUGGGUUCAUUCACUUGUUCAUUGUUUGUAGGAAGUAUUUUAGAUCCACUGUGGCAUGUGAAAGAUUAGUAUCACUCACUUGUGGAUUGUUUGGUAGGAAGUUUUGUGGAAUGAUCCUUUGUAGGAUGACUAAGUGAAUUGAUUUAGGUGUACAAACUUUUAUACUUGUGAAUUGUUUUGCUUUGGAAAUGUUUUUUAGUCAUACUCUAAAAUGAGAUUUUGUUUUCUUACUAGGUUUGGAAUAAUCAAUUAGAGCAGUGAAACCAACUUAGAGCAAUUUAUUGAUAUAAGACUUUUUGUAGGGUCGGUAGUAAUUUUUCUGUUUCAGUGUACUUAUUUUAGGUUUGUUGGUAGCAAAAGAUGUCAUUGUUUAUUCUUUUUGUAUGGAAACUACAAUUUACCAACAAAUGGUUAUUAGUCAAUCUUAGUGUACAAAUAUUACAAAGUGUAUCAUAACGUAUAUGUAUUAAAGUGUUGACUCUUUCUUUUCAUAUGGGUGUGAUGUAUUAUAACAACUUUGUGAUUGAACUGGUUAGUAUAAUGGCAGAGCGGUAAGAAGAACCGGAAGUGUAUUUUAUUGUAUAAAAAUGUAGUAAUUGAGGAAUAUACGACUGAAAAAAAAUGUCAUAUUUUACUAAUUCGUGACAUUUUUUUUAAUUGUCGUCAAUAUUGAAACAAUGAUAUUUGAUUUUAUAAAAACUGUAUCACAAUUGGCAUAUCCUUGACAAGGAAAAAAUGUCAUGGUAUGCAAAUUUGUGACAUUUUGUAACUAUCAUCAAUAUCGAAACAAUGACAUUUGAUUUUAUAAAAACAGUCACAAUUGACAUAUCCUUGACAGGAAAAAAGGAUAUAUUAUACAAACUCGUGACAUUUUAUAAUUGUCGUCAAUAUGCAAAGGAUGACUAUUAUUUAUUGUCAUAACUCGACUCCUUGGCUCUCUGGCUCAUCGGGUUAGGCCUCACCAACCUGGGUAUUGCACUUGUAUUCCUUAUGAGUCGGGCCAUUCAUGCAAAGGAGCACUUCACUUACGAACUGGCUCCUUAAGCGUAUAAUGAGAUGCCAUGGUUAGCAUGUCGUAUAAGACUAGAGAGUAACUCUGGCUUUCCUUCUUAACUUGGCUACAACGUCUCCAAAUCAACCUUCGCAUGACUUCUACAUCUGACAAUCUAGAGAGGAAAAAACUUAAAACAUAAAUUAAACGAACUCAGAGAGAGAUGAUUUUGAGAAAACCUUUUUGAGGAACACACAUAAUUAAUAAUAAUAAGGUAAAAUCGCAUUAAAUAAGUCACGUCGCAACAAACCAUAACAAAUCAGCAACCAAACAACAAACACUACAACAAGCUCAACUAUAAGAUAUGAGAUUCUCCUCUCACCUAGACUAGAAAUAUACACUCAGCUAGCGUCUUACGAGUUACCUGGGAUUUUCUCUAGCGCCUCUUCGUAUUCGAUCUUUCUCAGACUUGGGAGUUACACUCAACUAGUGUCUCAUCACAAUCUUGCAUAGACCUAAAUUUCUCUCAUUGCUAAGACCAGAGAGUCAUUUUUAACCAACGUUAUGUGAGUUACUUGGGAUUUCCACCAACGUUCAUUGUUAAUAGAAUAUCAUAACUCACCCCGACCUAAGGUUUUUUCCUCGUCUAGACCUAGAAUUCUCACUCAACCAGUGUCAUGCGAGCUACCUGGAAUUUCCAUCAGUAUCGUACGACAGAUCAAACUACACCACAAGGCAACCACAGAUACAACAAGGAAACAACAACACUUUGCUUACUUUAGCACAUAUAAUAACAUAAUAACAAGAUAUCUUAUAAAUUUAAUCACAUAGGAAAGAAUACUCAAUAAAUCUCUUUUACAAAACAUCUCUUUUCCUAAACGAGGAUCAUAAGCAACGGUUUAGAAAUCAUAUUCGAAAAACGAUUUGGCGUUCACAUUCGUUUAUAAAUCACAUUUAAUCUUCUUCAAAAAAAUAUUCUUAUUCAUACACAGAAAGCAUUUAGUCAUUCACUGAAGAACAUUCAUAACGCGCAUUCAGAUAUAGAAAAUGUUUAGUCAUUCACAAACAUUUAUUUUUACAAGAAUCACUCACUAAGAAUAAACAAUCAUAAGAAAAAUAUUUGCAAAUCACAUUUAUCAUUCGCAAACAGUACUACAUGCAAAACAUUGGAUUUCAAUCACAGAUAAUACUUAUAAAACAUUGUGUUUUUAUCACUCACAGAAGAUACUUAGUUUCAACUCCUUCCUUCUCGGCUAUCAACUUUCUCCUCUCGUCUGGUUGUUCCUUCAAUCGAUUAUUUAGCAUCCAAAACUCUCUUUUCUUAUUUUCGUCAGAAAAUCUAAUGUUUUCAAAAAAAAUAAAACUUUCUUUUUUCUUUGGCUUUUGACCCUAUUUAUAGAGGCAUUUCAUCUCCAAAAGGUCAGUUCUACGCUUUACACGUGUCACCUUACUAACACAUCGCGCCAUGCUGCCAACUCGAACUCGACACGUAGUCUAACCAUUAGCGACGAUUUGAAUUUUCCUUGAGACACACACCUUAUAUCCUUAAAAGAAGCCAAACUCUUAAUUCUUCCAAUUGCCCUUUUCUCUAGCUUUUUGAAAAUUCAUCGUUGUUUUCUUUUCCAUAACGAGUUGUCAAGUCACUUUGAGAAGAUAUUUGCUUCCUCGCUUCAUCCUCUUGGGUGCAUAUACUUUUUCUUGCAGUGAAAUGCUAAACUCCUAACUCUUUGGCAUUCACACAUGCUUCCUUCCCACCAGCCGUUCUUAUUGCGUCACUCAUCUUCACGUGAUAGAACUUUUGGACUUACACUUUUCUAUUUUCUUCACCUAUUCUCUGUUUGCAUUCCUCUUCGUGGAUUAGGGCCUUACAGGAAGGGAAAAUUUGGAAUAUAUAUUUAAAAAAAUGGAUGCUUCAUGGGCUUUUUGAUUUUGAUACACAGACCGUAAAAUUUUGAUAUUUUGUUAUAUUUGUUAAAAUGGUCUUUAACUAAGAUAGCCUAAAAUGGUAUACCAUAUUAUAAGAUUGACCUAAAUUUUUUAAAUUUUUCAGAAAUGUCCUAAAUUGACUAAUAUUUUACAUAGAUAUAAGGCCUAAAUGACCAGUUUACCCAUCUUUAUUAUUAAUAGCAUAUUAAAAAAAUAGAAAAAUUAAAAAGGAAAGUAAACCAUUAUUAACAUUUGCAUUUAUUGGAUAUUCUACGUAGAUAUGAUAAGUCAUUAAUUCUAUUAUGGUAAUAUUAUAAUAAAAAAUUCCCUUAAUUAUUUUUAUUUUGGUGAUUUUGUUCAAAAAAUAUUUCCACUUGAUCUCUCUCACUUUCCAAUCUCUCUCUCUCCAUCCAAUCUUUCUUUAGUUUUACAUUAUUUUUCAUAUCUUUCACCUAAUUAUAGUACGUAUUGAAUAAUAAAGUGUAGAUUUUAUGAAUUAAAUGUUCUUAUAUUAAUUUGUUUAUAAAAUGUGAACCAACAAGGAGAGAAAUUAGGGACGUAGGUUACGGUUUAGAAAAUUUAAAAAUAAAAAGUAAAAGUUUCAUUCUUCGAAUACGUUGAAUAUUGAUCCAUUUUCUUCACAAAAGACGUUGAAUAAUAGAAGAUUGAGGGAAGUAUAAGCGGUGAAGAAGAAGAACAUUGAUGGUCGAUUGGUACAGUGAUCUUUCGAAAAAAUUUGGCAAAAAUUUAAGGUUAUUAAGAAUUUAUAUUUCAUAUUCGAAAUGCAUUAGGGUAUAUUGAAUAUAUUCAAGAUAACAUAAUUUAUGUAUUAUUGAAUAUAUGAAAUAGUAUAUAUGUAACAAAUCACAUAAAAUAUAUGUAUUAUGCAGUAGUAUAUAUAUAAGAAUUAAAAAAAAAGUACUGAUUGGAUAAAUAAUCUGUGUAUACAGUGGUAUAUAAAUGCAGUAUGAAAAAAUCACAAACCAUGAAAAAAAAAUUUGUGUAUGUAUUAUUGAAUAUAUGCAAUAUUAUAUAUGUAACAAAUCACAAAACAUAAAUGAAUUAUUUAGUAGCAUAUAUGUAAGAAAUAAAAAAUAUACUGAAUGAAUAUAUAAUAUGUGUAUAUAUUGGUAUAUAUACGCAAUAAGAAAAAAUCAUAGAACACGAAAAAGAAUAUGCGUAUAUAUUAUUGAAUAUAUGCAGUAGUAUAUAUGUGAAAAAUCACAAAACAUAAAUUUAUUAUUUAGUUGUAUACCAUAGUACAUACGAAUGAUGAGACAUUUAAUAAAAAUUGUAUGUCAAACAUGACAGAAAGAUGAACUGAAUAAUAAAAAAUUAAACAAAAUAAAAGAAACAUGACCGGAAUAUAUGUUACGGAAUGGAAGAAGGACAAACUUUUAAGAAAAAAAAUGCUACGAAAUGGAAAAAGAAAGAAUAUACAAAACGAAAAAUGAAAAGGAAAAAAAGACCAACAAUAUAUUCAGUAGCAAAUCGAAAGGGAAGAAGAAAACAAUUUUUUGAAAUACAAAUCGGACAAGAAAACUGAUGUCGAAAUUUAUGAAAGAAAAUAUCGAAAUUGAAGGAGGAAGAAAACGAAGUGGUUGCAUGUGCUGGAACAAAUUUCACAAAUUCAAUUGGUGAUGAAAAUAAAUUAUUACACAUUAGAAAAGAUUUCUAUUUUAGGUAGAAUUAAUAAAGUAUUUUCAUUUGAUUUAGAAUAUUUGUGAAAUUUUGGAGUAGAUUUAAGUCAUUCCUCUAAUUUUUUUUGGUUAAAAUAAGUUUAUUUUAAUUAGAAAAUAUUUUAUUUUAAAAUUUAGAAACAAUUAGUUUGUGAUUCAAAUAUGUCUUUCAAAAAAUUUACUUAAAAAAAAGACAAAAUUUAUUUAUAUUUUAUUUUUGAAAAAAGAAAAAAAGGUUAAGGAUGAAUAAUUGGGGUUGGAAACUUUAUGCGUUGAACCAAAGUAAAAGAAAAGUCAUAAAACAGAGAUCCAAUAAAUUAAUAUGUCAUAUAAAUAUGAGAGGAAAUACCAAAAUUUCACGUACACAAUCAAACGAAACAGUGCUUAAUGGGCGAAGGAAUAUAUACAAACUAAACACUCCCAUCCCUCGAAUCUGCAGGUCCAUUUUGCGUAUAUUCUUGAAUACUCCAUGCAUUUUCUUCCAACAUUUUCACCCACUUUUCUUAAUCUUCGAAUAGCCUCUGAAUUCUGUUAUUUGGAUAUGAGCUACUACUCUUUCUUCAGUUUUAAUAUGUUAUUGAAUUAGGGUUCUUCAAUCUACCUGCAUUUGAUGCGGUAGAGGUAUGUAGUUGUUCUUUUUCUUUCUUCUUUUUAUAUUCGGCGAUCCGGGUUUGCCGGAUUGCAUUAGGGUUUCCCGGGCAUGUCACUUGCUGGGUAUUUUUUUUUUUUUUUGUAAUGUCACUCUGAUUUAGUAACUAUUACUUUGAAAUUAGUUAAUAUCUGUGUUGCAUGAAUCAUUUGGAGCAUAUGCGUGAGCUUUUCCUUUGGUCAUUUGCUUCUUCCUGGUUGUUUAUUGAUAUGAUAAGCCUAUGGCCGUGGUCGCGUAAUUCUGUGCUUUGGCACCAGUUUUUUGAAUUAUAUAUUUUUUGUGGUCAGAUAAUCUGUUUUAAAUGAAUGUAGCUAUUGAAUUGUAUGUUGGAUUUGGCAACAGUUCUAACUUUUUUUUUUUACCCUUUUGGAUUAUAUUAUGGACGAGGGGUUCACAGAUUUUGGAAGCUUUGGCGAAUUUUUAAUUUGCUUUACACUCUGACUAGUGGUGAGCAAAUAAUUAGACGGUGUAGUGAAAUAAAUAUUCGAAAAGCUAGAUGUAGCUUGUUGGAGAAAAUGCAGCUAUUUAAAACGUGACAUGGUGUUUUAUUCAUCUAUUUGUAGCUAAAGCUUUGGUAUGUACUUCUAAUGGGAAUCUUUUUGUUCAGUGCGUAGUAGUCGGAAGUAUGGUGAAGGAUACUCGAUCCAGUGUCAGAGAGAGGAAUGAGGAAAACAAUAAUCUAAAAGGGAAACAAAAUGGUGAGAAGGCUCCAGCAAGAGCGGGCUCUACAACACCAGAUUCAUCUGCUUUAAGGAGGUCUGCAAGAGAAGCAUCAUUGAAGAAAAUAAUCAUUGUGACCCCUUCCAAAUCUAGAAAAUCUGAUCGACUUGACAAGCAUUCACCUCGCACUCGUAGCGAUAAAAAGAAACAUGGUACCAUUGUUCAAAAGGACAUGCUUAAUCCGCUUAGAAGAUCUGAGAGGGUUAAAAAGCAGUCUUCAUCUACCUCUUCAGGUUCUGGAUCAAAGAAAUUAGUUAAAAGUUCAUCUACCUCUUCAGGAUCUGUAUCUAAGAAAUCAGAUAAAAGCUCAGGCUCACCAUAUACGAAGGAAAAAAAGGAGAAGAAAGAGAAGAGUAUUGAACAGUUAAUUCUUGACCCUAGAGAGGCUGGAAAAUCGCCAAAACAAGACGAGGUUUCACAAAAUGCCAAAGAUAAGAGAAUGGAUGCUCGUGCUUAUAGGGCAUUGUUUAGGGAAAAACUUAAGACAGGUACUUCAUCUAGCAUCUUAAUUGUACUCUCUUUUUAUGCAUUUCUUCCCCCGUGGACAUCCCUGCCUUGUAUGAUUUGUAUUAUUCAUUUUGAGAGGAUAAUGGUUCUCAUACUAUCAUUUAGUUGAUUGACAUCUAUACAUAUGCAAGUGUAAUCAUUAAGUGAAUGGCUAGGUUCGCAUCACUUUAUUACUUUUAUCCUAAUUACAUAGUGCUAUUCUAGCAAGUUUAUUUUGUUUUCAUAUCUUUCAUGUUCAGGAAAUGUAGACUGUCGAGAGCAGGCGAAGAUGCCAAAAAGCAACGAUCAUUGUGGUAGCAAUAGUUGCAAGGAAGACUUGAAUCAGAGCAGCAAGUACAGUGAGAAGAGCAAAGAACUGAGAAGCAGUUGUCUAGAGAAAUCCUCUACUAGAGAUUUGGAUGACUCUAAUGAGAUUGAUACUAAAGAAUUGAGAAGUAAAUGUCUAGAGGAAUCGUCUACUGUUUAUUUGGAUGACCAUCCUGAAACUAGAAGUAAAACUUCGGAGGAAGUAUUGAAAAAUGACAGUGAAUUGGAUUUCUUCCUGUCAAGCCAGAAGUCCUCUGAGGAAGAAGUGCUUACUAAACUGUCAAAUGAAGAUAGUGGUACUGUACAUGCAGUCAACGAUGCAGAUAAGAAAUUGGAAGCAUUAGAGAGAUCCAAUUCUAUGCUUGAAGAAAAGAUAGUCGAUGACUUUAUUGACUCAAAUGGUGGAUGUAAAUUAAUUUCUUUGAAAAGAAAAAGAAGCAUGCUGCACUUAGAUUCUAAUGUCUCAGUAAGGAAUGGAAGUGAAAGUACAUGCUCUUCACCUACUGAAGCGGUCCAGUUAUUAUCGUCUCCAUGUAGACAGAGUGAUCAAGUUGGGACGUGUGGUGAUCAAGUUGGGACGUGUGGUGAUCAAGUUGGGACGUGUGGUGAUCAAGUUGGGACGUGUGGUGAUCAAGUUGGGACUUGUGGUGAUCAAGUUGGGACGUGUGGUGAUCAAGUUGGGACUUGUGGUGAUCAAGUUGGGACUUGUGGUGAUCAGGUUGGGACUUGUGGGGAUCAAGUUGGGACUUGUGGGGAUCAAGUUGAGACUUGUGGGGAUCAAGUUGAGACUUGUGGGGAUCAAGUUGAGACUUGUGGUGAUCAAGUUGAGACUUGUGGUGAUCAGGUUGAGACUUGUGGUGAUCAAGUUGAGACUUGUGGCAAAUGUUUGAAGAGACAAAGGUAAGUCUUGACUAGGGGAUUUUUUUGAUGUCAUGUACUUGUUGCAAUUCAAGAAACCAUGGGUUACUUAUUGAACACAGUCACAUAUACCACAAAAUGUUAUUUAUCAUUACCCAUCAAUCACUUAUCACUAAGCAGUGGGAGAUGCCAAUAUGUCAUUGAAUUGUGAAUGUCAAGGAUACUGCAUGAUGUAAAAUUGCUUACCUGGUUUAUCAUAUUAAUUAUAGCGUUGUCAAAAUGAUAUUGAUAGGGAAUGGGGGUAUUUUCUAUAACUAAAAAGUGUAAGACAUAGACAGUAAGCAUUAUGACCUUGGGCCUUUAUUUUUCUUUUGAAUUGGAGUCCCUUCCUAUAUUAGCUGCACUCUUUUUGUUGGGUUGUUUAACUGUAUGCUCUUAUAUAUUCUUCAUCUUUUCAAUGAAAGCUUGACUCUUUAUGCAUAUAUAUAAAAAACAAUUAUGAACCUUUGGGUGCCACUUAAGAAUUUUUUUAAAACGGAGACAAACUUUUUUAUUAAUCGUAAGAACUCAAUGUACAAGAGAAUUAUACAAUGAGCUGAAUAAAGAAGUCCAAACAAGCGAAAGAAGAAGAAUAAUAGGGAUCAGAAGGUGCACCUGGACAUCUCAACUAGAUUGACACCCCAUUAGCACCAAAACAUCAUAUCCCAUUAAAACUAGCCUAUUGCAACAAUGAGAAAAAUAUCCAACCUAUUACAAUGAGAGUAGAAUCCAGCCAAUACAGCAAAACUAAAAAAUCAUCGAAAACUAGAAAAGAAAAAGAAAACAAGUGAGUCUUAUUAGACUUAAGAAUUAAGAUCAUAAAAGGCCUCACUUGCACUUGGAUGUUGGAAUGUGUUCGAAGUCACUAGUCAUGAUUGUUCUUUAUUUUCAUUUUUGUUUUCUGAACUAUUUGUUAUCUUGGGCUCUUAAGAUGGGAACAAACUUAGUUGGAAACAGUAAAGUGGUCAUUUGAGACGAGGAUUAUGCAAGACUAUAAUAACCACCUCUAGCUACAGUAAAUACUAUUUAAAAAUCCCUAAUUAGCUACAGUAAACACUCUUUCAAAACCCCCAAUUUGGUACAUAUUUGCUACUUGACAUUCAUCAUUCUUUUAUUAUUUGUUACAGUGAUUACUAUUUCCUUUUCAAACUAAAAUAAUCUUCUCCAUAAACACAUAUUAUUAUAACCCAAACUAAAAUAAUCUCCACCCAAACACAAACUGUUAUAAUUCAACUAUAAUAAUUAGGACUAUAAUGACUCACUUCUUACCUCAAACAUCCCAAAGUCUUGAUAGUGGUUUUGGGGUGCGUGCUCUAUUGUGGAAUCUUGUGUGAAGAGGAACAACGAGGAACAACAGAGUGUUAUAGUAUGAAUAGGGACCCUGUGAGAUUGGUCCUAGGUGAGGUUCCAUGACUCUCUUUGAGGUUUAGUUUCAAACACUUUUUUUAAUUAUUCCCCAGGUUCUUACUUAGUUGGAAGCUCUUUCUCUAGGGGGUUAUUGCAGGCUCUGUUUGCUUUAUGCUGUUGUAUUCUUUUAUUUUUUUUCUCAAUGAAAGCAUUUUUUUAUUUUGAAAAAGGAUUUUGGGGAGGAUUAUUCAGUGGGAAUAAUUGUCACUUGUUUUCAUCAUUAAUAAGUAGUUUUGAAGAUCAUAAUUUUUAACUUAUCCUGAUACCAUUGACACGUUUGAUGGGUUCUUCAUUAUUACAUAUUGCAGGUUAGGAAAUGAUUCAUUGAAAGACUUUUGCUCUUGUGUGGAAAUAGAUCAGCAGCAGAAUGAAACAAUAUCUAUUGAUGUGGUUUGUUUGUUUUUUCUUUCAUUCAUUCUUUCUUUCUUCAAUUGUCAAUCUUCUUCGUUUUAGUUUUCUUCACUGUCGCAUUCAUAUUUUGUGCAUUUCUGUCUUGUUGUUGUUUAGAUUCUCGGUUCAAAAUAAAGUUUAAUGCCGACGAUAAUGUUGUUAUAUUUCUCAGUCCAGACUUCUAAUACCUCCUAGAUAUUCUCUACUUCUUGAUAUGAAUGAGAUUACAAGGUUGGAGUUAAAAGGCUUUUUCAUUGGCAUGUAAUGGUGAUUUUUUUGAACAAGAAACAAUUACUCAUUAAUAUAAUGAAAAGGGAUAAAUGCUUAAGAGAGCAUAUAAACUCUAAAAGGGAGUGAAAAUUAAAUAAGGAAAAAAAGAUCAAGAAUUUUGUGACAACAAACUGAAAGAGAUCAGUCAUGAAAGCAUUAAGUUCAGAACAAAGAGCACAACCAAAAACCAAUCCUAAAUAAUGAAGGCACAUUUGGGACUUAUUUUUCCAGAGGUUCAUAUCUUGUACGCUCAUCAUAGGGACACUAGUGUUAUGAUCAAAGUGUUUCUGCUCAAUCAACCUAGUGGGAGAAGGGUCAUUUUACGACUUGUUGGGUGCAUGUGAGCUUAUGGAUUUUAUGGGAUGAGCGGAAUAGUAGGGUGUUUAGAGGAGUGAAAGGUGUCACAAUUGCAUCUUUUCAAACAUGGGACGAGCGAUUGUGCGACACUUGUUCUAAGAACAAGUCAGCUGUAUUAAAUCCGAAAGUCACGAGCAAACUCACGGUAUGAUGUAGCCUCCCUUCACGUUUUGAGAGAAAUUGGUUUUAUAAAAUGUGAGAGGGAAAGGAAAGCAUUGAAAACAUCAUUGAAGACUGUAAAUUGCAAAAAGAGCUUAGAUUACAAAGAGUACAUGUACAGCAAGGCUUGGUCAGGGAUUCAACUAGUAUGUCUCCCAUAUAGUACAUUUAAAACAUUUUUAGCUUUGAUAGACUUGUAUAUGAAAAGUGUGAAAUGUCAUACUCUAGGUCAAUGACAUAAAAAGGAAAGCAAUAGACUAAACUAAGUACAAAACUUAAAGAUGGGGUGGUUUGAGGAUGUUUGGGCAUGCAAUCAUAGGCAAACAACGCCUUGGACAAGCAUGCUCGUGACAAAAGGGGCCCUGGUGAGGUUUGGUCCCUUGUUCACUUUCAUGUUCUUUGUGGGGGAGUUACCCUUUUUUGUUGCCUUGUUUUUUUGUAUGCCCUUGUAAUUUGUAUUCUUUCUUUUUUUUUUCUUUUAUUUAUGAAAGUUGUGAUUCCAUAAAAAAAUAAUGAAGGCUUAAAGAUUUGGAAAAUGUUGAAGGCUGAAAUUGUUUUGUAAAAUUUCCAAACCAUACCAUGGGUCCAACCAAAAAACUAUUCUGGUACUCGUUCCAAGUAUUAAAAAGUAUCCAAAGCAUCCAGAUUUAACCAAGUUCAAAGAUGCUAAUCCAUGGACUCCUCAAAUGGUUUGGUAUACUUUGGUAAAUUCAAAUUAAUCUUGGUUGACCCUUGAUUAAUUACAUUUUAGUGCCCAAUCAGUUCUUAGUUUUUGUUUUAGUUAUCCUUUUAGGAUUCUUUUAAUUCUUGAUAAAUAGCGAGCCCCCCUGUAUUAGACAACUUUUUUCAUCAAUAAUAAAGACUUUGAUUGAACUCUUAGAGAGAAUUCUCCUUUUUAUCUCUUUAAGCUAAUAUCUUACAAGUUACUUUAUAUUAGGUCGCCAAUACCCCAGCUUAAAUAGUUUUAGUUGGGCAGUAAAUUUCUGAACAACUUUAAUCCAGUAAUCCAGGGCUGAUUCCCAUAUUUUUUCUUUUACAAUAUGAAACAGAUGAGAAAUUCCUUCAUAACCCUGCACCGUCAUUCUCUUGUUUUUCUUACUGUAUUAUAUCUUUAUUAGUAAUAGUUCCUUUUUUCUACUUUAGAAGAUUUAAUUUAUAAUUUGAGCCAAUUUGGUCUGUUGUGAAGGGUUCUCUGCGGGUGAUGAUGAAUUGGGCAAAGUGAACAAUAGUGAAAAUUUGAUUUAUAAUUGAAUAAAAAAAAUUUAAUUCAUAGAAUUUACCAUGUCCUGUUUCUUAGAAAUCUUUAAAGGUUACACUAUAUUGAACUGAUCUUAAAUGUCGUGUUUUGGUUUAUUGUCGUAGGAUAGAGGGAAGUCCAUGGGCAAUUCCAUCUCAGAUCCUACUGGAAAUUGUGUUUGGUGUAAGCUGGAAAAAGCAUCCUUGGACAUCGACCCAAAUGCAUGCCUCAUCUGCAAAGUUGGGGGAAAACUCUUGUGGGUACUAUUUUAUUGAUUUAUCAUAUUGUUUUCCUGAACAUUUAUUUUGUAUGAAAACCAUUUGGUUGGAGGGAAUUUAUUUUGUUGGUGAGUUUGAUCAGGAAUGUUGUGAUUGUCGAGGAAAACAUUUAAAAAAGGAUCGGUGAUAGAAGAUAUUGCAAAAUUGAUUGAUGGAAAUUUGAUAGAACACCAAUAAAUGUGUUCUUAUUCAAUUGAUUUAAACUCACUAUUACAAAGAAGAAUUGAUAUGAAAUGAAAAUACAGAAAUUAACUAAGAACAAGUAAAAGACUUCUCUCUCUGCCUAUCCUCUCUCUCAAGGAAGAGUGCAGAAAGACUACCCUCAAAACUGAUUUUCCCCCUUUUCUUCCCUCCCCAACUUCCUAUUUAUAACCAUCUAACUGCCUACAUAACUAACUACCCUUAGCCCUAUACUAUUCUAGGUAUCUAUCAGAUAUAUAAUCUCCUAGCCUCCCACCCUCUUGGAUGGAGGUUUGUCUCCGUUAAAAAAAGGGAUAAUUUGGGAUGUGAUCUUUACUGCCUUUGGAUGGAACAUUGUACUACCAGCACAUUCCAAAGAAUGGCUUUAGUUGCUUCUAUAUAACCACCAUUUCAAGUCGACAAAAGCCACUUUAUGGCCCUUCAUAGUUAAAGUAAUCAUCUAAAGGAUUUGGACUAAGAAAAAGUUGAGGGUUUUUCGAUUGUGAAUUCCACAAUAGACGCCUUUUAAUCAUGAGGUUAACCCAUCCUUGAUGCCUUCCACAAUAAGCAUCUUUUUCCUCCAUAAUGAUUCCUUUUCUACUUAGCCCCAUUUUCUUUUCUUUCCCUGUCUUUUUCUUUGUUGCUUAACCCAUCCUUUUUCCUCCUCCCUCUUCUUCUUUGUUGUCAGCCCCAUCUGUCACCACCAAGUCUCUAUUAUUUCCAUGGAGCUGGUGAGGUGCGGUAUCCUUAACCUUCACUUUUGCAUCUGUUUGAAAACGAUGAGUUUUGUUGUAGGCAUGAAGAAAAAGAAGAAAAGAAAAUUCCACUCUUUCCCUUAUUUGAUUUGGUUUGACAAUUCUCUUGCUGAAUGAAUGCAACUUCCAAUUCUAGUUCCUAUAUGUUUUUCCUAAGAAAGUUAGGGAUGCUUCUGAGACUAUUUGUUUGGCCAAGUUUAGAUCUCCACUAAAAUGGAAACUCGAAUGUGUUGUUUAGCCACCUUUGGAGGUGGAGAGAUAUUACUGAAGUAUGUUCCAAUUUGUCUUAUUAUAAAAAACCCAAGAAAUCUUAAAGAUCUUGAAUAGAGAAGACUGAGGACAUGCAUAUGAGGAUGACACAUGAGAGAAUUCCGGUUUCUGUUACAACAUAUGGGCAUUCCUACUGAUUUUUAGCAUGCAUAUAGCUGUUCUAAACUGUAACUAUAUUGAAACUGAAGUCAUCUUGCUGAUUGGUUUCCAUAUGCCUGUCUUGUUUUGCAUUUACUUUAAGAUGCUGUGAAGGAAAAGAAUGCAGAAGAAGCUUCCAUCUUUCUUGUCUAGAUCCUCCCUUGGAGGAUGUUCCCCUUGGAGUUUGGCACUGUCCAAUGUGUAUUAGAAGGAAGAUCAAGUUCGGUGUAUAUGCUGUGUCAAAGGGCUUCGAAUCCAUCUGGGAUACAAGAGAAACAGAGAUAUCGGAUGCCGAUGGUAUGGUCUACUUAGUGAUUCAAUCUUACACAUGUAAUAGUAAUUGCUUGUAGAUGUUCAAGACACAGCUUUCUUAUGAUUUUUGUUUUAAUCUUUUUUUGUGUCAUUUUUAGUUUUUCCUCAUUUUUAUAUGAUCGAAAAUUAUAUAAUUUUUUUUAGAUUCUUUAUCUGUUAUUGUCUUCAAGGGUCGCAAAGGCAGAAGCAAUAUUUUGUGAAAUUUAAAGAUCUUGCUCAUGCUCAUAAUCGUUGGUUACCUGAGAGCAAAUUGCUUUUAGAAGCCUCAAGCCUUGUUUCAAGAUUCAUCAAGAAGAAUCAGGUUUUGAAUUGUUCUUUCUAAAAGUUUAUGUCUCGUUCAAUUAGAAGUUAAUGUUCUUAAUUGAUUGAUAUUUAGCUUGUGGAAUUCAAUGUCACAAUAUUUAGCAUAGCUCAACGGGCUCAUUCAAGAGCUGGACCUCUUUUUUUUUUAAUAAUUCCUUAGAAGUGUUCUGGUCAUUCAUCCAAAAACCACAGUAUCGUUGGUCUAUUUUAGGUUUGUUUCGUUGUUAUGCCCUUCUAUGGGUAUUCGUAUCUUUUAGAAUUAGUCCUAUUUCAUUGUAUUGAUGAAAAGUUCUUUUUAUCAAUUGUUCUAUAUUAUAAUAAUUUUUUUUAAAGUAAUAAAUAAUAGAACUUAACUUUUUAUAAUUUGAUGUAUAAAUACAUGUACUACAUGUUUAUUUAAUAAUUUUUAAAGGAUUAUCAAUUAGAAAUUUAAGGGGGAUGUCAACCUAGUUGAGAUGCUUGGGUGUGCCUCUUGAUCCUUAGGUUUUCUUCCCUUUGUAUAAUCCUCUUGUAUUGUACUUUGAGCAAUAGUCUCCUUUUAUUAUAUUAAUAAAGAGAUUUGUUUCCAUUUAAAAAAAAAUUAGAAAUCUAAGUAACUGACAAUCUAAGUAAUCAAAGUAUCAACUAAAAAUCUUAGUGUUUUUUAUCCUUUAUUUUGUUUGGACUGCUUUUGUUUUGAUUAUUUUAUGGAUAUGAUGAGGGUGCUAAGGGGGUGUCAACCUAGUUGCGAUUCCUGGGUGCAUCUCGUAAUCCCUAGGUUAUUUUUGCUCUUUUGUUUCUCUUUCUUGUACUUGGAGCAAUAUUCUCAUUUCAUUAUUUCAAUGAAGAGGCUUUUUUCUGGAUGCGUCCCUUGAUCCUUAGGUCUCUAUUUUUGUACUCUCUUAGUAUAUACCUCUUGUACAUUGAGUUAUGAAUCUUAAUAAAGAGGUUGUCUUCUUUUCAAAAAAAAAAAAAGAGGCAUUUUUCUGUUAAAAAAGGAUUAUCAAUUAGAUAUCCAGUCAUUUUUAUGAGGCCUGGAUUUUGUUAAAUCAGUAAUAGGGUAGGGGCAUUUAGGGCCUAUUGCUAUACAAUUUCAAAACGUAAUUUUUUGUUUUGGGAUAAGAAACCAUUUCAUUCAACAAAUGCCCAAGUACAAGAUGAAACAAGGGAGCAACCCCGUUGAAAGAAGGAAAAAUACAAUGAUACCAUAGGGGAGGAGGGAAGAUGUAAAGGGGGAAAAUACAGAAAGAUGUAAAAUGGAUUUAUGAUGCAAGAAGCCCAAAAAAAUUGAACAGACCAAACAAAACAACAAUUUAAAAGACAUUAAACCAAAACACAUCCCCAAGCGAAACAUAGUCAAAUCAUCGUCUGAUGAGUAAAAUAUGAUGGUAGAGGGAGAGAAAGUGUCUGAGGAUUGGAGAGCUAGAUUCAGGCCAAUAAUGAAUGGAACUUCUUUUUUUUUUUAAGAGAUCGAGAACUCCAAGUUCCGGAUUUCUCUGAUGUUUUCGUGAUCCCAGUCCAUGGUGUCAAAGGCUUUAUUAAGAGGCAUGCUCUUUUACUGUGAAAUCUUGUCAGUUGUUUUGAUUCAAUUUAUCUCUUACCUUUUUAUGGGGGAUUCUAUCUCAAGUUUUUGUCCUUCUUAGUUGAAAAUUUUGUCUCUCUUUUUGUUUUUGAAACAGAAACAUAAUUUUUUAUUAUUGAAAUGAAAAGAGAAAUUACAUUAACAUAGAAACUUGGGAUCAGUAUACCUACUAGAUAUCUCAACUAGGUUGAAACAACCAUAACACCCUCAUCACAUCCCUAUACAAAGAAAAUCCUCCAUAGUUUUGAGAGUAUGUCUAGAGAAUAUGGUUACAAUGACAUGGAGAAAAUAAAAGCAUUCCAAUUAAGACAAAUAUCCUGAAAAAAGUAAUAAGCAAAGGACUUUGAUUGGGAACUCCAAGAAGAAGCCAGUAAACAAAUAUCCUGAAAAAAGUAAUAAGCAAAGGACUUUGAUUGGGAACUCCAAGAAGAAGCCAGUAAACGAGUAGAACUGAAGUGAUCUAACCAGUUCGACGGCCUAUCAUGAAAAACUCUCUGAUUUCUUUCUAAUGAAGAUUCUGUGUCCUAUUUGGCUUGUAUUAUCUACAUAUCAGUUGUAUUGGUCUUCUAAUUGUAGGUCUUGUUUUUUUUUUGUUUGUUAAUAAAAGCAACAACUUUCAUUGAGAAGAAAAUGAAAGAGUACAAGGGCAACAAAAAAACAAGCCCUCCAAAACACCCCGACUAAAGGAAGGGGGGGGGGUUCCAACUAAGUAAAUCUAAUUGUAGGUCUCUUUUUUCAUUACAUGAAUGGAAUUUUUUGUUUUCUUAAAAAAAAAAAAAAAAGAAAGUAAAAACAUUGAGCCACUACCAUGCCAUCUGUUUUUUUGUGAUAUAUUUUUUAGAAUCUUCUCCAACUAGCUCCUUUUGUGAAGGAUUAUAUCUUGAAUGGGAUGAGUAUGGGCCAUGGUAAACAGUCUGCAUUUGCAAUUUAGUGUUGUUAUUUUAUAUUUUAUUUAUUAAGAUGAAUCUUUCUCCAAUUUGAUGACAAUCUUCUUUCAGUAUUCAAGGUGGAAGGAAGAGUGGGCUAUUCCACAGCGUUUGUUACAGAAGAGAUUGUUAUUGUCUGCUAAGCUAUGCGAGGAGCAUGAUGCGGAAUUUUCUGGGGCUGAGUUGAAUUGUCGAUAUGAGUGGCUUGUUAAAUGGCGAGGCCUUGAUUACAAAUUUGCAACAUGGGAGUUGGGAAAUGCUUCAUUCUUAAGUUCACUUGAUGGCCAAGGUCUUAUGAAAAAUUAUGAAAGCCGCUGUGAAAGAGCUAAGUUGGCCUCCCAUGUCUCAGAAGUGGAUGAGAAACACGAGGUAGAUUAAGUAAAGUUUGUGCUUCUAUGAUCAUCUAUCUUCUUUGUAUCAGAAAUCAGAAUUUUAUUUUUGUUUGAUUUUUUUUGUAUGAAUAUUUUGCUUACCUAAGAACCCCACAAACAAGGAAAACUUUUUGUAUCCGUAUUUUCCCUCAUCCCAUUGCAGUUAUCUUUCUUGGUUAUUUUUCAUAACUUUUGUGCACGGAAGACAGUUAAUUCACCAUUUUAUUUGAUUUUAGAUUUGGACCCCAUUGGACAUUGAUGGAUUUUUACAAGAGAAUUUUCAAUCAUUUUAUUUUUCAAGAUCAGAUGUAUUUGUUAGGUAUCUUCCUGUAUUCCGAAAAACCCAACAAUGUCCAAAGUACAGGGGAAUUUAGCCUUCCCUGGUAUAUUGGUAAUUCUAGAAAGAACAUGAUAGUUCAGGUACCAAUGACAGUCUUUAAAGUAAUAGAAAAUGCACAAGAACAAGCAACAUGAUAGACCCCCAUAGUAAAGGUUUAUUCCCUAGAGACAAGAACAGAAAGAAGAAAGAACGAUUGGGAGUUAGUUGGUAGUUUUCCAAUUGUGUGGGCCCUUAGGAAUGUGUUUGUUAGAGUGGCGCCAAGUAUUAUGUUAUUCUCUUUAGUAGUUGCCUGUUUAAAUAUCUAGUAUGGUAGGGCAAGGGUAUCUUUUUCCUUAAUGAUUUUGGUAUAGAAUUCUCAUUAGAGAAGUGUGGAGAGAUUGGGGAGCUCUCAAAUCCUUCCCCAAUAGUUGAUAAAUAAAAUUGUGGCUAAGGCCUUAAUACAACACUAUCACAAGACCGCCAAAUACCUAGGCACAUUCCAGAGGGCCUGAAAUUCUCUCCCCUAGCUUUGCCUUCUAGCCAAAAUCUAGCCAAAAAAUUUCACACCCUGCUUUUCUGUUGCAAAACUCUCUUUAAACCUCCCUUUGUAGUCCCCAUAGAAUUUUCUUCGUAUAAAUAACCACCCAAUGUCCCCUGCCACAUCAAUCUCCCUUUCCGAGCAGACGUCCUCUCUUGCCCCUCUUCCUUUCAUAUGUGCCUCAUGAUCGGGGUCUCACAGUCUUGUUCGGCUCUCGUUCUCCGCUUCUCUAUUUCCUUAUUUGCAGUAUUAGUCUAUUUCCUCUUCUCCGAUAAGAUAAAAAAUUACUUUUCUUAUGGUUUACUUGUUAUACUAAUUUUUUUUCUAAAGUAAAGAUAUCGGAGAUUUUGUCGUCAUUUGUUUUAUAAUUUCCUGGUGGUUGUUUCCCUCUGAUUUAUUUAUUUGUUUAAUUUUUGUAAAAUUUUCGAUGAGUUUCUUUCAUUUGUUGGUUUGCUGCUUUUGCUUUUAUGCCAUUGGAAAUUUAUUUUUGUUGUUCCUUGACACAUGUAUCUUAAAUUCUUAAUGAUGUCUUUCUACCAGUUGCAGAUACUGCAUAGGAAAAGAACUGCUGUGGCUAAUCUGUCACAGUUUACAGAUAAGGAUACAUGUGGCUUUAAUGAUAAUUAUAUAAGCUAUGUCAACAAGCUUUAUCAGUUUUGGCACGAGGGGAAAAAUGCUGUUGUGAUUGAUAACCAGGUGAGCAUAAACAGAUGAUACAUUAUAGGGAGUAAUGCUUUUUAAACCGCAGUUCAAUAAUUAAUAUUAUUGUUGGAGGUGGUGCACUUGAAUAGUUUUUCAAUUUUCAUCAUUAAUUUGAAUUGAAUAACAAAUUAUAUUUUUUUGAAAAGGAGACAACUUCUUUAUUAAUAAUAAGUUCUCAAGGUACAAAAGGUAUAUACAUUGAAAAUAAUAAAGAAGCCUAAAGAGCGAGAAAGAUAGUGGAUCAGAGGGUACACCCAGAUAUGUCAACUAGGUUAACACCCCCUUAGCACCAAAACAUUAUAUCCCAAUUAUGAUACUGAAUAAAAUAGAGAAUGUAAAUGAUAAAACUUAAAUGAGUCCAACAAAAGUACACAGGCUGAGAUUGGGAAAAACUACAAGUAGAAAAAGAGGCAGAACAAAAACAGCUGAUGAGAGAUCCAAAACAGAGUAGCUAAUCAUCUUCCAAAACAGGACAAAAAUUAAAGGGCUGGGUGGGAUAUUUAGUUUGUUUAGUCUUUAUAUUUGUAUUUCUUUGUGAUUCUUUUGGUUUUGUUUUGCUUUUGGACAUUACUUCUUUAUUUUGAUUUUUAGCUUGGUUGGAUAUGAUGAGGGUGCUAUGGGGUGUCAACCUAGUUGAGAUGCCCAAGUGCACUUCUUGAUCUAUGAUUUACAUGCUCAUUGUAUAAUUCUCUUGUACUACGAGCUCUUGUCUCAUUAUUAAUAUAUUAAUAAAGAGGUUUUUUUUUUAAGAAAAAAAUUCCUUCAAAGACAACAAGGCAGUGAUUUUGUCCAGCAUCAUUUGGGCAGUUUCUUCUGAGAUUUAGGAGAAAAGAAAAGAUAGGAUCCUCAACAACUCAAAAUCAUCAAAAGACAUCCUGGAUUCAUCUAUUUUUUAUGUGUGAGUUUUUUUUGGUGUGUAAACGUUUAUUGCCCCUUAAAAGCCUAAGUUACCUUGUUAAUUGAACAUGACCUUGUACACCUUUUGAUUAGGCUCUUUUCUACAUCUGAUAUAUUAUUUCAUUCUUCAAAUAAAUUCUCUUAUCAAAAAAAAAAAAAAAAAGGAAAAGAAAACUCGAUUUAAGAAGCUUUGCAAUGGCAAUCGAUCACUGGCAUCCCUCCUCUUAUUUGUAUAAGAAUUCUUUGUUUGUAUUCUUCUCUUUGUUCAUUUCUCCUUUGUGUUUGGGACGUUUCUCUUAGAAUCAUAGUUUUAGCUCCUACUGUUUUGCUGAGGUUGUCAACUAGGUAAUAUAUUGAAAGGAGAUUUUAACUGCAGGAUCAAAUGUUUGUAAUCUAGCUAAACGGGUAAUAAUCUAGCAAGUUUGUCUCUAAACAACUUGCUUGCUAAUAUCAAGAUGUUUCUGUCCUCUUUUAGUAUAGAGGCUGCUCUUGGAAAUCUGAGAAUAAGUGUUGAUAGUCCUUCAAGUAGCCACAUGUAUUAUUGGGCAUGUGAUAUGAGAAAUCCUGGUGGCAGUUUUUUUGUCGAGCUAUCCUAUUCUUCAUUCAAUGUUGAUGAUGAAGUUUUCAACAGUUAUGAAUACAGUCUUCUGGGAAAGAUUUCAGAAGUUCGCGUUGUGUAUUUGAAUCGUGGGAGCGGAAUUAGGGGUCAGCAUAAUUGAAGUUGUCAAGGGGGUUUCUUUGAUCAUCCGCAGGUCACUUCGGGAUUUGUUGUGUCAAAUACCAUGUUUAGAAGUUGAUUUCAGACAUGAGUAUUUUGACUCUUCAGGAGGCCCUCUUUGUAGCUCAGUUUUCUCAUUUGAACUUGUUUUCACAGUAGCUGUUUAGUUAGGCUCCAUUUUUUCGAUACUGGUUUUCUUUCUAUUUCUUUCUAAUUUUUCCUGUCUCAGCCAUUUGUAUUUAAGCUGGAUACUAUUGAUUAUUAUCUAGCAUUUUGUCUGUUUGCUUUGUGUUUAAUUUAUAUGAUGUUUUGGUGCUAUAGUGGUGUCAACCUAGAUGAGAUGUCUAAGUGCACCUCCUGAUCCUGACUGCUUUUUGCACUUUAGGCUUCUUAAUUACUCAUUGUAUAUCUCUCUUGUACUUUGAGUUUCUGUUAUUAAUAAAGAAAUUUGUCUCCGUUUCAAAAAUACUGCAGGAUCGCAUGGCAAAGAUUAUUGCAUUCAUUUUAACUUUGCAACCUGAUGUCCUCCGACCCUUUCUCGUUAUCACAACUUCUACAGCCCUUGGUCUAUGGGAUUCUGAGUUAUUACGUUUUGCUCCAUCUUUCAAUGCUGUAGUUUACAAGGGAAACAAAAAUGUACGGAAAAAUAUAAGAGAUCUAGAGUUUUACCAGGGAAGUUACCCGAUGUUUCAAGCUCUUAUUUGCUCCUUGGAAGUAAUGAUGGAGGUAAUACUUUGCCCCUCUAGUUAAAUUUAUUGUUGAGAAAUUUUUGGAUCCUUAUGAGUCGACUUUGUAUCCAAGAUGAUAACAUGGCAGUUGGAUGGUAAACUAGACUCCUUGAAAUGAUGACAACUACUUUAAAUACUUUAGCCUAUACCUCAUCUUUAGUAAUCCUUUUCCCACUCUUUGUUUUUGAACUAUACUAUAUAAGCCUUGGAACUAUCAUUCAGUUUCAAUCUUCUUUGCAGGAUCUAGAUAUAUUGCAACGUAUAAGUUGGGAAGUAAUAAUUGUUGAUGAGUGUCAACGCCCAAUAAUUUGUUCACAUCUUGAAAAAAUAAAGAUGCUAGAUGGAAAUAUGUGGCUGCUCGUUCUUUCUGAUCAGCUAAAGGUUUGUUUUUGUGACUGGUUUAUGAUAUUAACUCACAAUUUUAUUUAUGUUGGAAUUUUCACAAUAUAUAAAUAUUUGUGUGUAAAUAUUAGUGGCCAAUAUUUGGUCUUUAUUAUCUUGAUUUAUUUACUCUUUUGAACAAAUAUUUUCUUUCAUUGAUGACUUUUGAUGUUAUGAAAAGAGACUAAUAAUGCUCAAAAUAGUAAUAGGUAAAAAAAAAACAAGCAACAAACAAUAAAGUGAUUGAUGAAACUAAAAACUCUAGAAUUGAUAUUUAUGAAAUCACUCCAAUUAAGACAAAUUUUCUGUUAGAGAAAAAGUGAUGUAGCCUUAAGGAUAAAAGGAGAGAGAUCAAAUAAUAAAGUUGAAGUCUUUAUUAUUAUUAUUAUUUUAAACGGAAACAAGAUUUUCAUGAAAUGAUUGGAGGGCCUUCAUCUUUCCUUCACCCUAGUCCAUAAUGUUUUGCUUAUGUUUAGUUAGUUUAUAAGUUGUUCUUAAAUGUGAAGUUUGAUCUUGUUGUUUGCUUCUGGGUUUUGUAUGUGAUGUUGUACUCGUACUUUGGCUUCUUGGUGUUUUGAAGCUUUAUUUUUUGUUGGACUGUGUUAGGUCACCAAGGCUUAAAUAUUCUAGAAGGGGUAAAAAGGAAAGUAUUGAAAGCAUUAAACACGAAACCAAGGCUUACAUAGAAACCUAAGUAUCGGGAGAAAAACCACGAUAUUGUUGUUUUAUUAUUUUCUGAUGAAUAAUAGGUACAAUGAUGGAGAAUAAAUAAAUUACAUAAUAGAAUAAAAAAGGAAAAGAUUUAGGAAUUAUGGUAAAUCUUCCCAUAAAUACCCUAUGGGCCAAGCCCACUAAUUCUAACACUCCUCAAGUUGGGACGUAAAUAUCAAUGAGGCCCAACUUGCUAACACAAGUCGAAGUUUGGUUUGAGAAGCCCCUUGGUGAGAACAUUAGCAACCUGUUGGCUUGUACGAAAUGCGUAUGUUCCCAUUGUCAAGUUUUUCUUUGAUGAAAUGUCGAUUAAUCUCAACAUAUUUAGUUCUAUUAUAUUGAACUGGGUUGUUAGCAAUACUGAUAGCGGGUUUAUUAUCACAAAAAAGCUUCAAUGGUGUCUCACACUCCUGACGAAGAUGAGGUAGGACUUUCUGGAGCCAAAUUUCCUCACAUAUUCUCAAACUCAUAGCUCGACAUUCGGCCUCUGCGUUGCUCUUGGCCACAACGCUCUGCUUCUUACUCCUCCAAGUUACAAGGUUACCCCAAACGAAGGUACAACAACUGGAGGUAAACUUUCUGUCAACAAUAGAUCCUGCUCUAUCCGAGUCAGUAUAUGUCUCGAUGGUCUUUCUGUCUGUGUUUUAAACAUCAACCCUUUACCAGGUGUUGUUUUCUAGUAUCUCAAAAUUCUAUUGAAGCUUCCAUGCGUUCUUCAUAGGGAGUCUGCAUAAAUUGGCUGAUAACACUCACAUCAAAGGAAAUAUCAAGACGAGUAUGGGAUUAGUGAAUCAAUUUACCCACAAGGCACUGAUAUGGUUUUUUAUCAACUAGAACAUGAUCAUCAGAAUUUCCUAGUUUACAGUUGAAUUCAAUAGGAGUGUUAGCAGGACGACAUCCCAACAUACCUGUUGCGGUAAGAAAUUCAAGGGUGUAUUUUCUCUGAGACACGGAGAUGCCUUCUUUAGAUGUUCCCACCUCCAUUCUAAGGAAAUAUUUCAGAUUUUCCAAAUUCUUGAUUUCAAAUUCAUUCUUGAUUUCAAAUUCAUCACCCAUUCUCUGCUUUAGUUUAUUGAUUUCUGCCUGAUCAUCUUCAGAAAAAAUAAUGUCAUCUACAUAAACUAUCAGAACUUCAAUCUUUCCUGCUUGGAAACCUUUGUAAAUAAAGUAUGAUUAGAAUUCCCCUGACUCCACCCUUGGGACUUGACAAAAGUAGUGAACUUGUCAAACCAUGCUCUGGAUGACUGUUUCAAACCAUAUAGGGAUUUCUGGAGUUUACAUACCUGCUUGAGGAAUUGGAAGCAGGAAUUGGGCUGGUUGCCAUGCUAAUGCAUAACAACAACCUGUAGCCUUUUUCAGUCAUAAACUUUCCCCUUAAGCUCGUCUGAAAUAUGUGUACGAAUGAGAACUUAUGGCGGUAGCAAUGGCUAUUUAAAAUGGAUACCAUAUCUGUUGGACCAACCUUUCAUCCUCUGGACAGAUUAAAGUGCACUCAAGUUUUUAGUACAACAAAGAGUGAUCCAACCAGAAUAUCAGAAAUGGGUUUCCAAAUUGCUGGGAUAUGACUUCGAAAUUCAGUACCGACCAGGACCGAAAAACAAGGUCGCUGAUGCCCUUUCAUGAUUGCCGGAGGUUGCCCAUUUAGCGAAUUUAAGUGUCCCAUGCUUAGUUGACAUUAAGGUGGUUAAGGCCGAAGUGAUGAGAGAAAAACUGUUAACUGUAUGGAACCAACAGCAUGAGGAUCCCGAUUACAUUUCAAAAUUUUCAAUCCACCAUGAUACACUGCAGUACAAAGGCAGGUUAGUCUUAUCCUGAAAUUCUCAACUAAUUCCACCAAUAUUACACUUUUAUCAUGAUUAGGUAAUAGGUGGCUAUUCGGGGUUUCUACAAACAUUGGCAAGGGGAAUUAUAUUGGGAAGGCAUGAAGAGAGAUGUCAAGAGGUACGUGGAGCAGUGUACAGUGUGCCAAAAGAAUAAACAGAAGCUGUGAGUCCAACAGGGCUACUACAACCACUUCAAGUUCCUGAUCGAGUUUGGGACAAUAUGUCAAUGGAUUUUAUUGAAGGAUUUCCAUGGUCAGAAAAAGUUGAUUCCAUACUAGUAGUGGUGGGUCAGCUUAGCAAAUAUGGGCAUUUCUUAUCUCUCAAGCAUCCUAGUAUGACAAAGACUGGCUGAUAAAUUUAUCAAGGGAGUAGUCAAGCACCCUGGCUUUCCAUGAUCCUUUGUGACAGAUUGAGAUAAGAUCUUCUUGAGCCAUUUCUGGACAUAACUGUUUAAAUCACAAGGCACUCGCCUUUGUCGAAGCACAACUUACCACCCUCAGACGAACGCUCAAACAGAGAUUGUAAACAAAGGGCUAGAAACAUACUUGCAUUGCUUUUGUAGUGAGAAACCAAAACAGUGGGCUUUGUGGCUACAUUAGGCAGAAUACUUUUACAAUACCACGUAUCAUGAAUUGAUCAAGAUGAUGUUGGACCCCCUAUCAUUCACACAUACAAACAUAGGGGCAGAAAAGGUAAUAACCAGGGGCAGCUUAACCUAUUAGGUUUAUGGAAGGAAUAUUCUGAUGUGGCACCGACGGGUAUUCUGAUGUGGGACCAAGUAUCUCAACUAGUAUCAUGAAGAACGAAACUUGUCCAGAGUCUCAUAGUAUUUUGUCCAGAGCUUGUUAUUUUUACUUCAUUGGAAUGGUUUUGUAUUGGUUUGUUUGUUGUACUAGCUCUGGGUACCUGAACUUUAAAAGUUUUUGUAUUCUCUUUGUAUGUUGGUUUAUUUUGGAUGUGAUGAAGGUGCUAGGGGGUGUCAUUCUAGUUGAGAUACUUGGAUGCACCUGCUGAUCCUACCUUGUAAUUUGUCCUUUGUACACUGUACAUAGUCUUUAUCUCUUUCCGUUAUUUCAAACAAAAGUGCAUUUCCUUUUUUUUCCUUUUUUCUUUUUGUAAUAGACCUCUUCUCUUCAUAGAGUUGCACAUAUUAGUAUAGAACAAUAUGUUCUUUCUUAUCCUCUCUACUCUAAAAAAUUAUCAUUUACGCUAAUACUUCUUCACUUGCAGGAUAUCAAAGAUGAUUACCAUAAUCUUCUAUCUGUACUUGACGUGAAUGACCAAGUCGAAAAUAAAGAUACUCUGAAGACCAAUGGCGAUGAUAACAUCAGCAAACUUAAGGAGAGAUUAUCAUAUCAUAUUGCAUAUAUUAGCACUUCUAGAUUUGUUGAGUAUUGGGUUCCUGCACGGAUAUCAAAUGUGCAACUUGAGCUUUAUUGUGCCGCCCUACUUUCUAACUCUGGAUUGCUUUGCUCAUCAUUCAAAAGUGAUCUGCUUGACAACAUCCAUGAUCUGCUCAUUUCAACUAGGAAGGUUAAUUCUUGAACUCUGGCACCAUUUCUCACUUGAUGAACCUUUAAAAACAUCCAUUUUAAUGUCUUCCACAAUUUUUAAGUUGUGGACACUUAUUGUUUCUCAUCAAAAUUAAAUUGCUUUAUGUCACUUGAGCUUUGUAUCUUGUAGAGCGUUAUUAAUUUCUUUGUUUCAAUGGAAAAAAAUCUUUAUUAUGAUACAUAAAAUAAAUAUCGACAAAAUGAACCAAACUGAAAGAAGGAAUAAAGAGUAAUUGAUGUAUCACCAAGUAGUAAUUUUAUUCAAAUGAUCAAAGUUUUAGAAAUACAAGAGAAGGUUCUGUUUAUAGGUAACUUAGGAUAACUAAAAGGGAUUAGAAUGUAACUAAUCUAGGAUUAAUUAAUAUUAAUUUUGAAUUAUAAUUUACCCAAAUCCUAUUACAUCAGUAAUUGAACCCCAAAUUUAAAAUGAAGAAAAAAAGUUGCUUGAGGGCUAACGUAGAUAACAGAAGGCUAAGGGAGAAUGAUAAUAAUUCAUGUUGGCUUAUGUACCUAAGAUUUAAUAUUCUAGAGUUUGUUUGGAAACUAAAUAUAGUAGAGUUUGGCAGUUAUUCUGGAAAAGUAGUUAGAGCUGCCAGAGACUCAUGGAUAAAAAAUGAAAAAUAAAAUUUUCAAACUAAAUUUGAACUAAGAGAUCAAAGAAUUGUGCAUGACACUCUAGAUACGGAAGGAUGUUAAAUUACCCAUCAACUCAAUAGCUUAAGUUGAUGGGUUAACAUAAAUUUAAUAUUUUAUCAAUACUGUAACACUCUGCUCAUUGAUUGAAACUUUGUUAAUUGCUAUAAAGUGAAAUUCAAUAUUUACCAGGAAAAAAUGAGCAUUAGUCUCUUUUCAUUUCCUCAAGUUUUGUUCCUUCCAAAUAGAACUGUUGAAGAAUUUUCUCACAGUGAAUUUUCUUACACAUGCAUAUUGUCAGUAAUUAGGGAUUAAUGAAAGUUGUUAGUUGUUGAUUCUACACAAAAAUUUGUUUAUAAACUGUAACGACUAAGUUGUUAUGUAUCAUAAGUUGAAAUUUAACUUUGCCAAAGUGUUAGCAAUCAAAAGGUCUGUGAUUCAAAUCCCCUACUCCUAUUGUAUUAAAAAGUUGAAGUCUAAUUUUGAUAAUAUUUACCAAGAUAGUGACUACAUUGUUAUGAAUUUUAAAGUUCCAAGGACUAAAUUGUUACUUCUCUUGGAAGUUUAGUGCCCAAAAGUAUUUUUGAACCUGCCUAGAAUUGGUUUGAUAUUUCUGAGGAGAAAGGAAGAAAUGGCUUAAUGUUUUUUUUUUUUUUUGACAGUGUUGUAAUCAUCCUUAUAUUGUGGAUUCUUCAAUGGGACAUGUGAUCACGAAGGGGCAUCCAGAAGUGGAGUAUUUGGGUAUUGGAAUAAAAGCAAGUGGUAAGUUACAACUUCUUGAUGCAAUGCUAAAGGAGAUGAAAAAAAAGGGCUCAAGGGUCCUAAUUCUUUUCCAGGUAUGUCCUGUGGUCGAAUUGGUAAUUUUUUUUUUUGAGGUUCAUAGAUUGAGAUAGGUUGUUUUCAUUGAGGGAUGAAAAGUGUUGUUAAUACUAAUUUUUAAAAAAGCUUGUGAACUUGGCACUGCACUUACCUUACUUUUUUUCCUGCAUUGAAAAGAAGCUAACAAAUUACAAUGAGACAUAGAAAGCAAAAAAAAAACAAAGAAACAACUACAACCAAAUAAAGGCCAUUGAUUAUGGCUUUUACCGGAAAAAUAAAGCAAGUACAAACAAAAACAACCUAAAAUGGAACAAAAUGGCUCUUUGAACGACACUCCAAACACCACUUCAACAAUGAAGAAGCACCAUGUGAUGAGACUUCGAGAGUUUUUAAAAUUUCAUGUUUUUGUUGCAUAAAGGUUUUGGAUUUUAAAUUUUAAAUUCAGAAUUAUACUAAAUAGAAAUAAAAACACCACUCCCAAAACCCAAUUCUCCUACUAUUUCCUACGUUAAACACAGCCAACACUUCCACUUUCCUCCAGGGUCUCCAGAUGGCAAUUUAAAUGAUCUUGCCCAUGAAUACUACUAAUUACCUGUUGCCAAAGUGAGUUUUUCUCAUUAAAAUAUCUCCAGCCCCAUUUAGCAAGUACUACCCCAUGCGUUAGUCCAAGACCUUUGCAAAAAAAUAAAAAAUGAAAACGUAUUAUAAAUUAUAUAAUGUUGUAAAAUAAUAAUUAUUCAAUUGCUUUUAACAUAAAACAUGGUCUUAGAUAAAUUAAUAAUAGUUUAUUGUCAACUAAUAUUUAGUGGGGAACUACAACUAAUUUUAUGAUUUAUAAAUAUAGUAUCAAACGCAUUUUAAACAAUUGUUUAAAUUCAAAUCUAUCUUCUGAAUAUUCUACCAAACACAAACUUGAAGACAUGAAAUACAACACUAUUUUCAUUAAAUCCCUUGUUUUCAAAUUUCUGUUUUUAGAUUUCAUACCAAAAAAUCAUAACCUUUCCCACUAACUGCUUAUAUCUUUUGCGAUCGUUCAACAGUUCCCCCUCUAUUGUGAUCUUUGAACAAUUCCCCUUCUUUUGAGUUGGAAGUAUUUCAAUAUUUCUAAAUCCUAUGGAGAAAUGUCUUGAUUGGUUGGACAUCUAACGAAUUUAUGUAAGUUAGCUCCUUACUUGAAGAUAUUAUUGAAGGGAAAUCUUGCCCUAAGGCAAUACAACCUCCCUUCUCUCUUAUGAGAAGCUUCUACUAAACCAAAAGCUGAAAAUGAAAUACCUUCCCCUCAAUGUUAUAAUACCUCCCUACCCAAAGGAUGCUCUCCAGUUCACUCUGGACCCCACAUCCCAACAUUCCUCUAACGUCCCUCACUCCCACAAAAUAAAUAACACUCUCCCUCAAUUACUUUUCUAUGCCUUCUAUCUCUCUCUCUUUGAAACAGAAACAUAGUUUUUCAUUGAAUUAAUGAAAAGAAAACAGUUUCAUUAUUUCCAUUUCAAAAAAGGAAAAAAAAAAAAAAAAAAAAAAAGAAAAAACGAAAACCCUUAAACUUUAAAGUACAGUUCAAAAUAUCCUUGUCCUUGGUUUUGAAUGGAAACCAUUAGUGUUGUGUAUAAUUUAGCCUGUUAUUUAAUAAUUUUAAUGUAAAUUUCUACCUUAAACAUCAAAAGAACGUUCAUACGAACAUCUAUACAAUCAAUUCAAACAUAAGGAGCAAUAUAUGGAAAACUGAGAAAAAAUGAGCCAAAAUUUUUGAGAGGCUGUAAAACAGAAAAUACAGUUGUUGCAUCAUGCAUGCUAGUGCCUGUGGUUGAUGUUUAGUGCGUGCAAACAGCAAGGAAGUCUUGUUGCUGAAGUUGGAUGGAUAUUGCUGAAACAACAGUAGUGAAUUUUUUUUUUCUUUUUCUUAUUUUUUUUCCCAUUUUCAUAUCUUUACUUGAAAGGUAAUGUGUCGGUGUUUGACAUCGACACUUGGGCAUUUACACCUGCCUGUUCUUUAUAAUUGAUACAUCAUGUUUUCUAGCAUUUUAGUGUACCUUGAAAUGGAUAGAAUUUUAUUGUAUGUAAUGAAAUUGUUAUUUUUAGUCUAAAGUCGUGCUUAAAUCGACAUUUUGUUUUAAAUUUUCUCUCUCCCUCCUACUGUUUUUAUCUGUGGAUUUGUGAAGCAGUGAAAUGUAUUUAUAUUUUUGUGAGGAAUUUUUACGUGGCAAUUGCAGUCAAUUAGUGGCUCUGGAAGAGACACCAUUGGUGAUAUUUUGGAUGACUUUUUACGUCAGAGGUUUGGGCCUGAUUCUUAUGAACGCAUUGACGGGGGUCUUAUUUAUUCCAAGAAGCAAGCUGCUCUGAACAAAUUUAACAACCUAGAGAGUGGAAGAUUUUUGUUUCUGCUAGAAGUUCGAGCGUGCCUCCCCAGUAUUAAACUUUCGUCAAUUGAUAGCAUUGUCAUUUAUGAUAGUGACUGGACCCCGAUGAAUGAUUUAAGAGCCCUUCAAAGAAUUACACUAGAUUCUCAUUUGGACCAAAUAAAAAUUUUCCGUUUAUAUACAUCUUGUACCGUUGAGGAAAAGGUUCUUAUGCUGUCCUUGGAAAAUAAAACUUUGGACGGCAAUUUACAGAACAUCAGCUGGAGUUGUGCUAAUAUGCUGCUUAUGUGGGGAGCAUCUGAUUUACUCGCCGAUUUAGAGAAGUUUCAUGGCAAAGAAAAAACUGAAGAUGCUUUGUCAGAUUCAACACUUUUGGAAGAGGUGGUAAAUGAUUUAAUAUUACUUAUUUCACAAAAUGGUAGAAGCACAGACAAGUAUGAUUCCCAUGUCAUAUUAGAAGUUCAACAGAUUGAAGGAGUGUAUUCUGCAUGCUCUCAACUUCCUGGUCAAUUAAAAAAGUUAUCGACUGAAGAAAUGCAACCCUUCAUAUUUUGGAGUCAGCUGCUAUGUGGAAAGCACCCAAAAUGGAAAUACUCUUCGGAUAGAUCUCUAAGAAACCGAAAAAGGGUUCAACAGACUGAUGAUUCCUUAAAUAAAUCUGAAUAUGAGAUUGAGGAAUCCGUGAGUAAACGUAAAAAGGUAUCAAAUAACAAUGUGAAAGUUGCUCAAGAGGAAAACUUUACACACAAGGAAAAGGAAGGUAUGAGUAUUUUAAAUCUUACACUUUCUAGAGGUUACUUUGCAGCUUUACUGUUUUUCCUGUCUUACUUUACUCUUGUCAGUCAGUAUUCUUAAACUUCUUUCUGUGUGCAGGUACUUCUAAAGCUCCGAAACAUACAUGUCAAAAUUCAACUAGUUUGGCUGCAUGUGAGGAUGAUUCAUACAUUGAGAAUCAUCUCUCCACCUCGUCUUUGAUAGCAAAUGAUAUCUUGAAAAUUCUUAAAUAUAAGUCAGUUGGAUUUGAUGAAAUAAGAAAGCUGACCGAUCUGCGAAAGAGUCUCCAUUGUCUUUUAAAGCCUGAAAUAUCACAAUUAUGCAAGAUUUUGAAACUUCCGGUAUGGAUAUCAUUGCCUUAUUUAUUUGUCUUAACCUAUCUAUGCAUUUUUUAUUUUUAUGAUUGUUGACCCUCUUCAAGAUCUCGUUGCCUUAUUUAUUUGUCUAAACCUAUCUAUGCAUUUUUUAUUUUUAUGAUUACUGACCCUCUUCAAGAUAGUGUCUUUUCCUUCAGCAGCCUAGAGACAUCAAUAAAUAUAGUUUGAUAGUUUGAUCAGGUGGUGUAUGUCCUAUGGGUUUCCUUGACACUGGAAUGUUGUAGGGUUAAGUGGGUUGUCCCGUGAAAUUAGUCAAGGUGCGCAUAAGCUGGCCUGAUACCCAUGGAUAUAAAAAAAAAAAGGAAAUAUAUAGUUUGAUCAAGGUUAAUAUUGUACUUUACAUGUUAGAUGGCUAGUUCCAUUGAUAUUGCUGUUAAUUGAUUAAUUUGCUGUACCAUCAUGUUAAUUAAUGAAAAGAGAUCUAUGAUUAAACGUACAAAGUCUCGGUGCGAUGGAGACCAAAAACUAAGUUACUGAAAAGUAAAGGCUUCUCAAUUCAUAUUGUUGAGAUGGUGAGAGUCUCACAUUGAAAAAACCAAGAAGACUCACACUCCUUAUAAGAUAGAUGGGUUACUCCUUCCAUUGCCAAUUGGUUUUGAGAUGGAAUUCCUUACUAUCGAACAUGGUAUCAGAGUCCAUUAAGCCCAGACGGGUAUUCGGUUAAAGAUCGGUGAACCCAAAAGAGGCACCGUGUUGAGGGGCAUGUUGAGAUGUUGAAAGUCUCACAUUGAAAAAUCAAGGCGAUUCACACUUCUUAAAAGAUAGGUGGGCUGCCCCUUUCAUUACCAACUGGUUUUGAGAUGGAACCCCAUACUAUCAAUAUUUCUUUAGCAUCAAUAAGCUUUCAGUUUAGUCACCUGGAAUCUAUCAUGCUAAUGUUGAUGAUCUUUCUAAACAAUUAUUUUUUUUAAAUAAUAACUCUUUGAUCACCAAUUGACCCAAAAACUUAGGUGGAUGGUUGAAGGCAAAUUUAAUAUUAAAUAUUUCAAUGAUCCGCUUCACUUGUAGGCUUGAAAUAUGUAGAAGACUUAAUAAGUGGAAAUCAAUUUUAACUAGAGAGGAAAAAACAUUGUAAGGGUUUGAACACUAGACCUCUUUGGACCACCUGCUCUAAUAUCAUUUUAAACUACUGAUUAACUUAAUCUGAUAGGUGAAAUGAAAGGUGGAGUGAAAACAGAUUUAGUAUAACAAAUUUUAACUUCCUUGACUCAUAAGUCAAGUGUGAAACUGAAUAGCAAAUAGCAAUAAGCAACCAACCACUAUGUUAACAUUGGCAAUGUAAAGUUGGAAUGGGUUCAAGCCAUGAUGAAGGAUGGUUGUUUGAGCUAUUUUAUAAUAUGUUGCAUCUCGAAAUCAAUUGACAACGAGAAGAGUAGCUCAUCAAUCUCAUAAGGAGUGUCAGAUUAGAACAAUUUGAUAAAUUCAAAUAAUCUUGGUUAAUCCUUUAUUAGUUACAUUUUAGUUACCCAAUUAGUUUUUAGUUUCCUUUUAGUUGUCCUUUUAGGAUUUUAUAAUUCUCUAUAAAUACAGAGUCCCUCUUGUAUUACAUAAUUUUUCAUUGAUAAUAAAGACUUCGAUUGGAUUCUUGGAGAGAAUUCUCCUUUUAUCUAUUUAGGCUACAUCAAAUUUAUAUCAGAGGGGCCGUCUAGGCCAACGUUGACUGUUGUCGAUGGAAGACUGGAAACUCUCGUUGACGCCGAUCAUGAGAGGGAGCUUUGAGUGUUGUGCUUGUUGCCAAACAACACACAUCUAAUUAGGGGGAACCUUUGAAAUUCCAAGAAAGAAAAGAUAUAACCAAAGAUUUUUCAAGAUUUUGCAAGAAUAGAGUAUUACCGAUUAAAAAUGUCCAUGAAAAAUAUUCAGCAAUUGGUAUAGAAUUCUAAUGCAAGUGAUUCAGAAGAGGAAUUCCAACGUAAUAAUUUUACCCAUGCUCGAUCUCUUCAAAUAACCUAUCAUUUUCCACAAUGGAAAUUUGAUUCGUGAUCCUAGUGACUAUGAUGACAUGUCUAAGAAAGUUUGGGAUGGAAUAUGAAGGCAAAAAUAUCAACAAAAGGCUCAACGAUUGAAUCAAACCAGUUUUUCAAGAAACCAACUAGCAAGUCUUCAAGAAUCUCAAGGAAUUCAAAAUUUUCCAGUAAGAAACCAACAUCGUAAUCAUCUCAUUAGAAUUAAUGAAAACCAAGAUUUGAAAGAGAUUUUGGACGUCAAUUACUGAAGAUAUUUGAUGGAAGAUUCAAAAUCUUCGGAUGUAGGCUUUGUACAGCAUCAUGAAAACUUGAAUAUGCCUUCGAAGAAGAAGAUAUUAUGAUCAAAGAACACCCCAAAAUCAUCCAACCACCAAUUUGGAGGUCGAAAGUUUUCAAGAAAAUCAAAAUAUUUUUGAAAGUUUUUAAAUAAAUCUAACUAUCAAAAUGAUUUUCGCUAGGGAAUGGAUGAAAUGUGGGUUCUUUUGGGAAAAAUUCAAGAAAGACAUGAUCAUAAUUUCAAGAUUUUUCAAGAAAUCAUCAAGAAUUACAUUUAGUUACUCAGGAAGAUCAAGAAUUCAUCCAAAUGGGAUUUGGAACUGUGCAAAUAAUGAACGAAGUGGAAUAAAAUAAAAACCAGUUGAAGACGAGUCAAAUGAGAAAAGUAUAAAGAUCGAGGAGGAGCUUGCAUUGGAAGAAAAAAUCAAUGGAUUCACAUGAGAGUUACUUAAUUUCCAACCAAAUGAGGAAGAACAAUCAAUCAAUGAAAUGCAGAAUGGAGUUGUUGAAGAAGACGAAAUCACUGCAAAGAAUGUGCCCAUUUGAUUACAUCAAUUAAAUGUAGCACACAACCAACCACUUACCUCCCUCGCAACAGAAUAAAGCAGAAAUUAAUCUUGGCCACCAAGAAAGACAACAAGGGAAUCAACAACACAAAUGGUAAGCAAGAAAGAUGUAUUGGUGAAGUAUCACAACAUUAGCAUGUUGGGGAAUGUGAGAAGAUCCUGUAGAGGUUCUACUAAAUAAUCAUUAAUACUUACACACACAAUGGCAAAACAGAGACAGCACUCUGCUACUCUUUAUUUAUGUAUUAGCCAAAAGAUUACACUCAUUACGAUAUUCAAAGAACAAGAUGAAACAAUAAAGAACUUACCCAGCUUCCUUCUACGGUAGCUGAAUACCCUACCCAGGCUACAGCAGCCGACUAAACAUCAGAAUAAUAAAACCUAUCUACCCCAUCCCGGAAAGACCUAUUUAUAUACCUCCCUCUUUCAUUCUUUCAUUCCUGCGCAUGGGCUCCACUUGCACAAUCCCUUUCCAUCAUUCUCUCAUCAUUAGCUGUUUUUCCAUUUACCUUUCUGCCCCUUCUUUUAUAGGUGUGGACGAUUGGGGGCCUUACAGAUCCCUUCCCCUGUGCCAUAUAUAUAUUGCGAUAUGUAAAAUAUCUGUGAGAUUGAAGAUAUUGCAAUAUGUAAAAUAUUUCUGAGGUUGAAGAUAUUGAGUGAAGUCGUAUCUUUGACAUUGACUACUAUUAAACCACCAAUUCCUCCAAAAGCUUAAGCUUGUGGUUGAAGGAAAAUUUAAUUAUAUAUCAUUAACACUUCCCUUCACUUGUGGGCUUGAAAUAUUUGAAAGGUCCAACAAGUGGAAAUCAAUUUUAAUUGGGAAGGAAACAAAAAUAUAGGAGCUUAAUAAACAUAGGACCUUCCUUGACUACCGCUUUGAUACCAUAUUAAACCACCAAUUCACCCAAAAACUUAAGUUUGUGGUUGAAGACAAAUUUAAUUAUAUAUCUUUUUUUGAAAAGUAGACGAACUUCUUUAUCAAUGAUAAAAUCUCAAAGUACAAGAGGUAUAUACAUUGAGAAAAAUAAAGAAGCAUAAAGCAAAAAGCUCUAGGGGGAUCAGAAGGUGCACCCAGACAUUUCAACUAGGUUGACACCCCCUUAGCACCAAAACAUUAUAUCCCAUAAGAAAGCAUGAACUAAGCAAAGAAAAUAAAAUUAGAAAGUCCAGCAAAUUAACAUAGGCCAAGACUAGGAAAGAAGACUAAAAAGAUGAUGUAAAAACAGAAACAAAAAUACAGCUUCCGAGAGAUACAAAAUUGAGGCUGGAAACAAUGCUAGACGAAAAUUAAGAGGUUGGAUGGGAUAGGAAAACUGCCCAAUUGAGAUAAAUAUCUUGAAUAGAGUAAGCCUCGAACUCCUAUUUUAAGAAAACCCAAGCUGCUGCACUUCUUUCUGCAGAGAGGAUUUCUGAACAUGUUUUUUUUGUCAUGGAAUAUCCUCUGAUUUCUUUCACAAUUCGGAGAGGAUAGCUUUUAGCAAAUUUAACCAUAAUCGUCUUGGCUUCUGAGAGAACAGAGGACCCUCUAGAAGCUGGAGAAUCAAGGAGCGAAGAGAGCCAAAAAAAACCCAAACAAUGUUGAGCUGAAGUCUCGUUAGCUUUCAAACAGAGGGGGCAAACUGAGGGAAGAAAGCACUUGUUGGGGGCCUUCUUUUGAAGUAUAUCAGCCCUGUUGAGGGAACCAAAAAUCAUCACCCAAAUCAGAAUAUUAACUCUCCAGGGGCUGGAGGACUUCCAUAAGGCUUUAAAUAAACGAUUAUCCAUCGGGCAAACUAAAUGCAAAUGGGCCGAGAGAGUGAUAGAACCCGACCUUCUCAGUUUGCAAUGGAAAAAGGAUACAAUAUAGGAAAUAUUGCUGCUAAUGAAAAAUACAGAAGAAAAUAAAAUGCUCUCCGUCGAGGACUCCCUCUCUCCCUCAGCUGCCUUCCUAUCUCUCAAGGAAUAACAGUAGGAUUCUUUACAACCAAAAUUCUCUGCCCUCUCCCUUCCUUCUCGUCUCUAUUUAUAUUUGCUCCCUCACUCCCCUACCAUGGUCCCCGUUAGGGGAUCGUGCGUCGACACUCCAUUUCCUUGUGGUCCCCACCUGCAGUUGGUUACAUAACCAACUCCUCGUCCUUUUUCUCUUUCCUGUUCUUUCUCCUACUAUACUGGUGUAUGAUGGGUGGUCUAACAGAGAGAUUUAACCGUAAAACAGCCAUGGGAUCAAUAGACCAAACCUUGGGAUCUUCUAAAUCAAGAACUUGUACAUCUGAGAGGAGGAGGAGUAAUGAUUCAAAUUCAACAAUUUCAGCAUCUUUUAAACUUCUUCUAAAUGUUAGGGACCAAGAGAGGGUAGCAAAAUCCCAAUGAUUGGCAACCAAGCCUUGGGGAAGUAAGGCUAUUUUGUAAAGUAGGGAAAAAAGGCCUUUGAGAGAUAAGGUUCCAACCCAUGUCUGCCUCAAAACUUGUUCUACUACCAUUACUAAGUUUAUUUAAUGCUAGAGAUUCCACUAACGUCCACACCUUUGAGAUGCUAAUCCAUGGGCUCCUUAAACUAUUUUCGGACUUUCCCAUUGUGAAUCAAUCAAAAGGCUCUUUACCGUGGAUGCUACAAAUAAUUUUCUCCAAAAGGCAGAAUCUUCCAUAGCAAAUCUCCAGCCCCAUUUUGCUAGGAAGGCAGAAUUAUGAAUUUUGAGGCCUCCAAGGCUGAGACCCCUACCCUUUAAGGGAAGAGAAACCAAGUUUCAUUUGACAAGAUGGUUAAGCUUGCUACCGGAAUAACCUUCCCAAAAGAAAUUUCUUGUGAUUUUUUUCAAGGAGACUGCCACGUUUUGAGGGAUAGCGAACAAGGAUAGGUAGUAAAUUGGGAGGCUAGCCAAGACUGUAUUGCACAAAAUUUGCCUUCCUCCUCUUGAGAUGUUAAAGCGCUUACAUCUGUCUAAUUUCUUAUGAAUACAAUCGAUGACAGGUUGCCAGAACUCUUGACGCCGAGGAUAGCCUCCUAAAGGGAGACCUAAGUAUACAAUAGGUAAAUUUUCUGCCUUACAGCCAAUUCGGUCAGCGGUUUGCAGUAGGAUGUCCUCGGGUAUAUUAACUCCACUGAGAGCUGAUUUUUCCCAAUUAACUUUGUGCCCCGGACACCAUUCGUAGAGUCUAAUAGCUUCCUUAAGCUUGAGAGGCAUUUGAUCAUCAAAUUUGCAGAAAAGAAUGAGUAUCAUCAGCAAAUUGCAGCAAGGGGAGGUGUAUCAAAUCCUUGCCCACAAGGAAGCCCUCAUACUGACCACUACUAAGGUGAAGCUUGUUGAUGAUAGCUCCUAAAACCUCACUUAUGAGGAGAAAAAGGAAGGGCGAAAGGGGGUCCCCUUGACAGAUACCUCUAGAAACAGUUAUGCGGCCCCUUGACCUACCAUCGAUGAAGAUGGAGAAUUUAGGAUUCGACAAACAGCCCAGCAUCCAUGCUGUCCAUUUGGAUAUUUUGAUUAUUAAUUUCAGACAUUGGCAAAACCUCCUCUUGUUGCUCUUUUUCCAAUUUUUUAUAGACUAUUCAAGUCAUUAGUUUAAGUUAGAGUGCUUUGUUUCUUCCUCUUCUAUUGGUUAGUAUGUAGUCUAUUGCUAAGUGUUUGCAUUUUACUUGAUUUUAUCUCUUGUUGGUUAUUUAUAUUCUCUUUUAUUUUAUUUUGAGCAUUAGUUUCAUUUCAUUAUUUGAAUGAAGAGGCUUGUUUCCAUUUACUUUUUUUUUUAAAAAAAAUUAAUAUAUUUUCUAUAAAAAAAGACAUUGGUAAUGUAUUGUAAGACCCUCUCUGUCUUACUUUCUUAUUGAUCACCUACUUCUAUCUCUACCAAAACUGACCUCGUCAAAAAGUUUAAUAUGUUUGUUCCUGACAUGCCUAAGAGCAUUCUAUGCGUAGAAAAUGUAAGCACCUUUAGGUAUUUUAUAUGUUGGCGUAUGAGUUCCGUUUGGUAUUUUUAUGUUGACAUUUAAUAAUUCUAUGUUGGCUCUGCUGGAACAACCAUUGACAUAUCUUGUUGCUUUGUAGGAGCAUGUCAAAGAUGAGGCUGAAAAGUUCUUUGAGUAUGUAAUGGAUAGUCAUCACAUCUUAACAGAACCAGCAACAACUACAUUACUCCAGGCUUUUCAGCUAUCUCUGGUUAUUUUCAUCCUCUCAUUUACUCUGUCAUUUUAUUGUUAUUUCAUUUGACAAUGUGAGACCAAAAAAUGAGAGAAAACCCCACAUUAACGGAGGAAAAACAUUUUAUAAAAUUUAUGUAUAGAUUGUGUUGUGGAGGGUAUAACAAACAGUGUUAAAGUGAUCAAGACGCUCAUCAUGGUUCUUGCUAUAAAUUAGUAUGUAAUUAAAGUAAAUUACAAUGAAUUUAUUCAAGGAUGGUUGAAGAACUUUGUUCAUUAAAUGUUCAAUGCCUCCAAGUUGGUCAAAUAAAUCUGAUAGCUAGGAAUGAGAAAUCAAGAUUUAGUUGUAUGUUUUUUUUAUUUUAUUUUGAGUAAGAAGUGUUUGAACGACCAAUGGCUUAAACUUGAUUAAAUAUGUCCUUUGUCAAGUUAGGAUUCUCAUUCUUGUAAUACUUUGUAUUCUUUUGACGCUCAUCUGAUAGUGGGGAAUUUGGUAAAAUAGCUACAGAAACCAAACCAAGCUGGUGUUGUCUGUCACGCAGUGGUGGUAGUGAAUUAGGUUCUUGUACAAAAUGUAAAAAGUGAAUCCAGGAUAUUAAAGUUCUCACUGAAAGAAUCCCAUUCUUGAGGAGCUUUUCAAUCUCUAUUUAUUCUCUAUUGAUGAAUUACGGAUAAUUUUCCUCUUGAUUUUUCACUUGCUUUGUUUUGGCUAGUUCUAUGUUUCUAAUUGGUGAGUGUAGCUGAUCUAACCCAAGUUCAAUCCUUUCAAGUUAAGCUGUCAUUGUAGCCAUGAAAUUUGGAUCAUUGUUGAGUUCCACAGUUUUCCUAGAUUGCUUUUGAUCCUCUACUGACUUCCAUUAAUACGUAUCAAAGAGUUCAAGUUCUUAAUAAAUCCUUUUUGAGUAAAUGCUAACUUAAAUUAUGGUCUAUCCAUGUUUGUGGGUGCCUCAAUGUUGUCCAUCAUCAUUGGUCACUGCUCUGGUCCUCUGUCGAUUCUUUCCAACUUGCUCCUUGAAGUUCCAACCACGUCCUGCCUCUAUCUGACCUCUAUCCUUCCGUGGUUCGUUCAGAUCUAUCUGCAUUGUCCCAUUAUUUUUGCAUUGUCGCAUCGUUCCAGUCGUGCAAAAUCCUGUCAUCCUCAGACCCAAUGUGCACAACUUCGUUGUCCAUAAAAUCUUCUACAAAAUGAACCCUCUGAUGUCUAGGUCCAUGCUUUCGCUAUAGGUUUCUUCGUUCAUUUCACCCCAUAUCCCUAUCCUGUGCUUCUCAGACUGGCUUCUUUCAGAUCCCCGUCUGGUGUUGCCCAACCCACCUGUGUCUGUAUUUCAUAUGUGCGAAGUGAGGCUUCAGAUAUGAAAUUCUAGACCAAUUAGACUUCGGUAUUCUGAAAGUGAGACUAGUUCUGGCAGUACAAAUCUUUCUUUCUUUGUAAGCAUUUGGACCAUACACAUUAGUAAUCCAACAGGAUCUUUUGCAAGCCGUGAUGCAAUUGACCUUAGCUUUCUCAUAUCCAACCUAAGUGUUUCAACCACUCUUAUCUUUCUCAUAUCCAGAAUGCCCAAAGGAUUCGACAAACUCCCACCCGAUGUCCUUGGAGCUCCAUAGGACCGAUA